AUAGUGGCUUCACCCCUCCCCGCUGACGCUCAGAAGACUCUGUCUGCCACCACGAAUGACGCACCUCGCACGGUCGAUAAAUUUUUCGGGGCCGUGGGGUAGUAUUCGUGAUUCAGAUGAGUAUGUAUGUGUGGGUAUCAGGUUUUGCGGGUCCAUGGCUUUCAAUAGAUGCAAGCAUCUAUUGUUAAUUACCCCCUUGAAAUUGGGGCACCUUCGAUUAAGAGACCUUUAUAGAUUGGAUGAGAUGGAUCGUAUCUCGGUUUAUUGAAUCCUAAAUAUAUGUAUUAGGAUUCAGUUGGAUUUGAGGUUGAUUAGGCCCUAAGUAUAUGUGUUAAGACCUGAUCGAUAUUAAACUCUAUGUAUUAGAGUCUAAUUGGUUCAUGAGAUAUGGGUAUGAGAUCUGGGUAUUGGUUCAUGGGAUUUGGGUAUUGGUUUUUGAGAUUUGGGUGUUGGUUCAUGGGAUAUCGGUAUCAAGUUGGGUGUAAGGUUCAUGGGAUUUGGUCCAUGAGGUUUGGUGUAUGGUUUAUGGAGUUUGUUCCAUAAGGUUUAGUUGUGGUUUAUGGGAUUUGGUCCAUAAGGUUUGAUUAUGGUUCAUGGGAUUUGGUCCAUGAGAUUUGGUUGCUUCAUGGGAUUUGGUCCAUGAGAUUUGAUUAUGGUUCAUGGGAUUUGGUCCAUGAGAUUUGGUUUUGGUUCAUGGGAUUUGGUCCAUGAGGUUUGGUUUUUGGUCAUGGGAUUAUGGUCCAUGAACUUGGUUUUCGUUAUGGGAUUUGGUUCAUCGAACUUGGUUUGGCUCAUGGGAUUUUGUCCAUGAGUUUGGUUUGGUUCAUAGAAUUGGUCAUGAUGAGUUUGGUUUUUAGUUCAUGGAAUUUGUCCAUAAGUUUGUUUUGGUUAUGGGAUCUUGGUCAUGACUCUGAUUUUGGCUCAUGGAGAUUUGGUCCAUGAUGUUUGGUUUUUGGUUCAUUGGCAUUGGUAUGAACUUGGUUUGGUUUUGGCUCAUGGGAUUGGUCCCAUGAGGUUUUGGUUUGUGGUUCAUAGGAUUUGUCGCAUGAGAUUUGGUUUGUUCAUUGGGAUUUGUCCAUGACUUGUUUUGGUCAUGGGAAUUUUGUCAUGAGUUUGUUAUUGGUUCAUAGAUUGGUCCCAUGAAUUGGUUUUGGCUCAUGGAAUUAUGGUCUGACCUUGGUUUCGGUCAUGAUUGUCCAUAGAACUUGGUUUGGUUGUGCCAAUGGAAUUUGGUCCAUGAGGUUUUUGGUUUGUUCAUGGAUCUGGUCGCUGAACUCUUGUUAGUUAUGGAUUUGGUCGCCCUGAGUUUGGUUUUGUUCAUUGGUAUUUGUCCUGAACUUGGUUUGGCUCAUUAAUUGUUCCAAUGAGUUGGUUUUGGAUUUGAUUCUGGAAUGGGUUUGGGGUUCUUUAUGUGGACUUGGUUUGGAUUGGGUUUAUUUGGUUUUGGGUUGGAUGUUUAUUUGGACUUGGUUUGGUUAGGUUUGGGCCGUUUGGCUUUGUAUGUGGACUUGGUUUGGUUUGGGUUUAUUUGGGUUUUGGGUUUUGUUUGGGUUUGAACUUGACUUGAUUUAGGUUUGGGUUUAUUUGGGUUUUGGGUUUUGUUUGGGUUUGAACUUGACUUGAUUUAGGUUUGGGUUUAUUUGGGGUCAAGUUUGGGUUUAUUUGUGGGUUUAUUUGUGGACUAGAUUUGGUUUGGGUUUGGAUUUAUUUGGGUUCGAGUUUGGGUUUAUUUGUGGGUUUUGGGUUUAUUUGGGUUCGAGUUUUUGGACUUGGUUUGGUUAGGUUGGGCUUUAUUUGGGUUCCAGUUUAGGUUUAUUUGUGGGUUUAUUUAUGGACUAGGUUUGGUUUGGGUUUGGGUUUUGGUUUUAUGUGUGGACUUGGUUUGGGUUUGGGUUUAUUUGGGUCCGAGUUUGGGUUCUGGUUUUAUGUGUGGACUUGGUUUGGGUUUGAAUUUAUUUGGGUCCAAGUUUGGGUUUAUUUGGGUUUGAACUUGACUUGAUUUAGGUUUGUAGGUGAACUUGAUUUGCAAUUUUAAUUUGCAAUUUGGAUUCGCAUAUGAACUUAAUUUGUGGUUUAAGUUCGUGUAUAAACUUGAUUUGCAAUUUGAUUUGGGGUCCGAAGAAAUCCCCUAUUGAUUUUGCAAUUGAAUUGGGGUCCGAAGAAAUCCCCUAUUGAUUUUGCAAUUGAAUUUGGGGUCCGAAGAAAUCCUCGUUUUAAUUUUGAUUUGGGGUCCGAAGAAACGGGGAAUCAAAGAUUCCCCUCCCCUUUUCUUGCGAUGCUGCGGAUGACGUCGACGAAGUUGAUGACGGUGGCGUGGAUCUGUUCGGCCAUCGGAUUUGAUUUGACAUUUUCGAAUAAGUAUUGAAGGGUCCGAAGAAACGGGGAAUCCAAGAUUCCCCUCCCCUCUUCUUUCGAAAGUAUCAAACCGGCAAUGCUGUAGAUGUCGUUGGGGAUGGUGGCGUGGAUCUGUUCGGUCAGCAAAUUUGAUUCAAUAUUUUCAAAAUAUUUUGAAGGGUCCGAAGAAACGGGGAAUCAAAGAUUCCCCUCCCCUCUUCUUUUCGAAAAGAUCAAAACGGCGAUUGUAGAUGUCGUCGACGGAGUUGUUAACAGUGGCAUGGAUCUGUUCGGCCAGCAAAUUUGAUUCGAUAUUUAUCGAAGAAAUGUUGAAGGGUCCGAAGAAACAGGGAAUCAAAGAUUCCCCUCCCCUCUUCUUUCGAAAGUAUCAAACCAAACAUGCUGGAGAUGGUCGCGGCAAUGUAGAUCAUCCAUUCCAUCAUCAACGACUUCGAAUGGGGUAUUGAGAGGUCCGAAGAAACGGNNNNNNNNNNNNNNNNNNNNNNNNNNNNNNNNNNNNNNNNNNNNNNNNNNNNNNNNNNNNNNNNNNNNNNNNNNNNNNNNNNNNNNNNNNNNNNNNNNNNNNNNNNNNNNNNNNNNNNNNNNNNNNNNNNNNNNNNNNNNNNNNNNNNNNNNNNNNNNNNNNNNNNNNNNNNNNNNNNNNNNNNNNNNNNNNNNNNNNNNNNNNNNNNNNNNNNNNNNNNNNNNNNNNNNNNNNNNNNNNNNNNNNNNNNNNNNNNNNNNNNNNNNNNNNNNNNNNNNNNNNNNNNNNNNNNNNNNNNNNNNNNNNNNNNNNNNNNNNNNNNNNNNNNNNNNNNNNNNNNNNNNNNNNNNNNNNNNNNNNNNNNNNNNNNNNNNNNNNNNNNNNNNNNNNNNNNNNNNNNNNNNNNNNNNNNNNNNNNNNNNNNNNNNNNNNNNNNNNNNNNNNNNNNNNNNNNNNNNNNNNNNNNNNNNNNNNNNNNNNNNNNNNNNNNNNNNNNNNNNNNNNNNNNNNNNNNNNNNNNNNNNNNNNNNNNNNNNNNNNNNNNNNNNNNNNNNNNNNNNNNNNNNNNNNNNNNNNNNNNNNNNNNNNNNNNNNNNNNNNNNNNNNNNNNNNNNNNNNNNNNNNNNNNNNNNNNNNNNNNNNNNNNNNNNNNNNNNNNNNNNNNNNNNNNNNNNNNNNNNNNNNNNNNNNNNNNNNNNNNNNNNNNNNNNNNNNNNNNNNNNNNNNNNNNNNNNNNNNNNNNNNNNNNNNNNNNNNNNNNNNNNNNNNNNNNNNNNNNNNNNNNNNNNNNNNNNNNNNNNNNNNNNNNNNNNNNNNNNNNNNNNNNNNNNNNNNNNNNNNNNNNNNNNNNNNNNNNNNNNNNNNNNNNNNNNNNNNNNNNNNNNNNNNNNNNNNNNNNNNNNNNNNNNNNNNNNNNNNNNNNNNNNNNNNNNNNNNNNNNNNNNNNNNNNNNNNNNNNNNNNNNNNNNNNNNNNNNNNNNNNNNNNNNNNNNNNNNNNNNNNNNNNNNNNNNNNNNNNNNNNNNNNNNNNNNNNNNNNNNNNNNNNNNNNNNNNNNNNNNNNNNNNNNNNNNNNNNNNNNNNNNNNNNNNNNNNNNNNNNNNNNNNNNNNNNNNNNNNNNNNNNNNNNNNNNNNNNNNNNNNNNNNNNNNNNNNNNNNNNNNNNNNNNNNAAAUUCGAAAUCGAAUUUCGAAUGGGUUGUUGGAGGAUGUUUUGGAAAUUCAAAAUUCGAAAUUCGAAUUUUGAAUGGAUUAUUGGAGGCUAUUUUGGUAAUUUGUUGGGGGUUCAAAAUUCAAAAUUUGAAUUUUGAAUGGAUUAUGAUUUGAAAUCGGAUUUCGACUAGAUACUUUAUAAGGUGUGGGUGUGGGCCGUCGCUGAUCAGACCCACCUUAAUUUAUUGGGCUCAAAUGAUAACGGGCUGAAAUAAAGCCCCCCCCCUCACUUUUUUUAUUUAUUUGUUUGGGCUUUCGUAAGGGCUCACCCACUCACAUUUAUUAAUGGGCCUAUUGUGGAUUUUAAAUUGUAAUUAUUGGCCCCAAAAUUUUCUGGUCAACAUGAGACCUAUCAAAAUUGUUUGAGUCUGAAUCUAAUCGGUUUCGAAAAAUUUUUUUUUUUUCACUUCAAACAGACUCGUGCUUCAGGCGCACGAAAGCAUCACCGUGCUCUGCCAACAACGCUCGAUCCAACACCUCCGUGAGGGUUGCGAGCUUGAAGAUUUGCACUUCCUUAUAAAUUUCUGGUCGAAGUCCACGCAGGAACCAAUCGCCCAUAUCCUUGUCAUCCCGUACCACAUCCGGGAUACAAUUCACGAUACGAGAGAACUCCCGUUCGUAUUCUCUCACAGAGCGGUCUCCUUGCCGCAGCUUCCUGAACCUAUCCUGAAGCUUUCUCUUUUCAGUGUCGAGGAAGUAGGUCGAAAACACCAAUCCCCGAACCUCAUCCCAAGCCAUAGGAGGGAGACUAGGCAAUCGAUUCCGUCGAAUGCCUUUCCACCACACCUUUGCCGAUAGUUUCAAACAGUGUAUGGCCAAAGGCACCUUGUCCCGCUCCAAGGUGUACAGCCCUUCGAAGAGCGUUUUCAUUGAGUCAAUCCACAUCUCCACGAUCCAUGGAUCAACAUUCUCUUCGUCAAAGGUAGGCGAGUCAAACCUCUUGAAGGUCAUAACGGCCGCCAAAGCCCGUUUUUUCUCCGCCUCUAAUUCUAUAGAACUAGGGGCCACCGCCCCCGAAUCCAUCGUGACUCCUGUCGGUACACGGCGCGCUGCUACCAGCGCAGCCGCCACAGUCUGUCGUGCCAACAACUCAUGGAGCUCCUUGAUCUGCUCCUCCUGUCGCAGCACUAUACCCAUUAGCGUACUCAUCUGCUCGCGGAGCACCGGGUCUCCGCUCGCCUCGGAUUGCUCAGGGACAUCACCUGUCCCACCCCACGUCGAUCUAGACGAAGGUCUACGCGGUGCCAUCGCUUCCUGAAACAGGAAAACUCGAUUAAUUCUCAACCCUCUAGGUCGAGUACGAAAUAAUUUAACAUUGACUCAAAUCGGAUAAAAGUUACGCAAGGGCGUCUAUUCUCAUCACUCGGUUUCAUGUUGUCGCGCGCCCAACAUGAACACCCUCGGUUGAGAAUGAACCACACCUCGAGUCUACCUCUAAUAUCCGUCAUAGAGGUUUCAACACAACCCAAUCAAUGAACCUUUCGCCAUAAGUCACAAGUCCUCGUCUCUCACGAGCCUUAUUCUCCUAUGGUUUACUAUCCUAGGGUCUCCUAGGUCUGCCUAAACCAUUCUCAUUCUCUGCUUUAUGCUCUGAUACCACUCUACCUAUCACGACCCGCGACCACCCACCUAUUUGGCCGAGGUCGUAGCGCCACCGACAGACCGCUGAACGGACAGAGUUUCCCCUGUACGUCCUAGGCGUCGCAAUCAAUACGAGUACAAGAAGUUCCAACCAGGAACAGUAUUCAAGCAAGAUUGCAUAACGAAUGUAUCAACAACAUAACACAUCCUAUGUUAUUACAAACAUUCAUCACAGUUUUCAUUUUACAUUACAUUCAACUUCCAAAUGCAAUUAAGUUAUUACAAUUAUUAUUACAAGUUUGAUACAUUGUGUUCUUUUUCCUUUUCUAUACCCCUAAGCAAUGCCGACUCGGGGUACCGCUAUCUCUGGUCUCUGGGGUAGGGCGCUAUCUAUGGAGCUACGCCCUUGCCUCGCGCUGCCGCGUCACUUACGUGCGAACCUGUAACACCCCAAAACAACGUGGGGUGAGAACCAACUCCAUGGUUCCCAGUGGGUACGGCCACCCAAGGAAAAAAGCUCGACCGAUAGGUCCAAGGAGGCACUGCAAUCAUGUUAGUCCAAAAAUAUCUACAGAUAUAUAUAUCGUAAUGUAAUUAUGCAACUAACAGAUAACAUGCCUUACAAUAUGCAAUAUGAAUAUUAUGCAACUAUACAACUGUAUAAGCAACUAGUAGAUAUGUUGAUUCUACAUUCACUUUGCUAACUUUUUAGCUCAUUUCAUUCAAUUCUAAGGUUUCUAUUACCUAAUGUUCUCAACUCAAGUUCAACUUGCUUCUAAGGUCUCUAUUACCUUAGGUUCUUGCCUCAAUUACUAGCUUAUAAGGUUUCCAUUAACCUAAUCAAGCUAACUACCCGACUCGGCCUCGAGUCAAUCAUCCGCGGAUAGUACGCGCACUGGCUGCAACUCAACCUUGCUGCCGUCACAGCCUACCGCAAAUCUGACUUAACCAUCUAGCGGCGAACUCUCGCAUCGAACCGAACAACAACUCAAGUCAUGAUUUAGCCAUCUGGCGGUGAACUCAUCGCACCUCACCCAACAAUGGUUCAAGUCGUGACUUAGUCAUCUGGCAGCGACCACAUCGCUCUUACCCAGUAAGGUUCAAGUCAAUCUAGGCGGCAUCAUCCGAUAAGCUAAUAGGCGAGGAGAACCACACAUACCCAAUUUCAGCUUAUUCUCAUGGCAUCUCGGGCGAGGAGAACCACACAUACCCGUUAAAUCACUGCCAGGCGAGGAGAACCACACAUACCUGCAGUUAUGAUUCGCUUGCCAUCUCUUUUACCAUAAUUUCCACCGCUUCUUUUGCGGCCACAUCACUUGGGAUUCUGGAAUCCAUUUCACAUAGCUCAAGGGUUGGUCUCAAAUCCUAUAUUAUUGACCUAUCUAGGUCCAAUGUCCUUUUCACCCUAGGUCCAACUGACUCUAGGUUCAAUGCCCCUAUCACAUAACCUAGGUUUACUUUAACUCUAGGUUCAAUCCAUGAGAUUUUGAAGCGUGUGGGCCUAGUAGCGUAUCGACUUGCUCUACCACCGAACUUAUCGGGCGUGCACAACGUCUUUCAUGUAUCGGUCCUUCGGAAGUACAUAUUCGACCCGACCCAUGUGUUGGAUGCUACACCUUUGGAGUUGCGGGACGACUUGAGCUUUGAGGAGCAGCCCGUGAGAAUCUUGGCUCGCAAGGUGAGGAAGCUACGGAAUCGGGAUAUUCCGUAUGUGAAAGUUCUUUGGAGCAACCACACGGAGCGAGAAGCCACGUGGGAGCUAGAGAGCGUCUUGCAGGAGCGUUAUCCUCAUCUCUCUCAGAUGGAGUCUUGAGGUAUGUUGCAUUUUGAGUUUUGCGGACGAAACUCCUUUUUAGGAGGGGUGAAUGUAACACACUGGACCUUCGCAAAUUGCGAGGUUCAAGUGUUUGAUCUGUGUUUCGAGCUUUACAAGAUAUUCUGGAGGGUCGUAGACAGUGUUCCGACCUAUGGCUCGCAUCCCGAGAAUUGAGGUUUAAAGCUUGUACCAAAAUCCAAAAAGAUGGAUUGUUGGUCCUACUCUCGGGUCAGCCUAAGCCAGGCUGUGUACCGGUACAGCCUUGAUGGUUGUACCGGUACAGGAUUUAUACCGGUACACCUUGAUGGUUGUACCGGUACACUAUGGAUUUUCUGGCAACCCGAGGCUCGGGUUGGGCUGUUUCGUAGGAAGUGUACCGGUACACUUUCUUGUGUACCGGUACACAAUGCAGACUGGGAUGUUUUCGGGGAGGGAUGUAUUUGCAAUUAUUGCAACCUCUUUAAAUACCACCCCAGCGCCCUUAACUGCUCUUUUGAGCCCUUAAACUGAGGAUACAAGGUAAGAACUCCCCCUCUUGAGUUCUUUUUCAUUUUUGAUGGAUUUUUGUGGGUUUUUAUCUCCUCCCCUUUGCUCUUCUUUGCUUCUUGUUGGAUUCCUCCAUGGGAGAAGCUUGGAUUUCGGGAUUGGAGCUUGUUUGGGGAUCAACCUUCAACCCUAGAGAACUCUAGGCUUCGUUUGGAGCUUUCAAGAGGUAAGCAACAAGUUUCUUUCCUCUAGAUUUGUAUUUUGUUGCUUUAUGUUAAUUGAAACCCUAGAAUGUGAUAUUAGGGUUAGAAUUGGGGAUUUUUGAUUGGAGGCUUUUAGAACCAAAUUGAUUGGUUUAGAAUCAUGGUUUAGGUUGGCUUUGAAGGACUCUAACUCCCAUUUGGAGAUCGAGAGAGUUUCCUUCGCGUUCGGUGAGUUUUCACCCUUCUCUUGAGUUGCUUAAUGUUCGAUCACUUGGGUGUUCGUAAGGUUUGUUUAACUCUCUUUUCUAUACCUUUAGGGUACUAGGAGAGUGGUGGACACCUUCGUUGGAGCAAACGAAGGGUUUCGAUUAGCUUCGGUUGGUUUGGCUUCAUUAGAAUAGGAGAAAAUGUCUUCUAAGUGGUUAAAUGCUUUCGUAUCAUCGUUGUUUAUGCAUUUUCAUCCUAGAUAGAAUUUAUGUGAAUUUUUGAAUGCUUAGAAUGCAUGCAUUAUGUAUCAUGAAUAUUUCACUCUAUGUGUAGAGCCUUAUGUGUAGUAUCUAUGCAUGUGUUAAGUAUUCUUAUUGCAAGUUUGGGAAUAUGUCUCUUAUGAGGAAAUUGUUUAGAAUUAUGUACUCUUGAACAUAAUCACCAUGCUUGACUUAGUGGACAAAGUGCCAUAAAGGGGCACUUGACUUAGUAAACUGUGAAACUGCAACUUAGAGACAUAGUGAUAGGCCAUUCAGACAUCCACUAUUAUUCCGUGUUUUAGACAUGACGACGUAGUGGUAGGCCAUCGAGAUACUUGAUAUAUUCCAUAUUUUUAAACAUGAGGACUUAGUACUUGAGACAGAUCUUUCGCCUACUUGCCAUUGUGCUCAUUCGCACAUGCUUGUGAGGGUCGCUCCCUACAAGCCGGCACUCCGGAGAUAGCCAUCGCGACAUAUGCUCCCCCGUGCGGGAUUGGGCGCCGAAGUGGAUUGCCGUGGGGGAGGCUCAUUCCUAGAGUGGGGAUGUUGACUACCACGGGGCCAUUAGGCACGGCGCAGGCCAGACAGCCUACGGGUGGGUCUUACAUGAUUGGAACUUAGUGACAGAACAUGCCAUUUGGACUUUGACUAGAAUAGUAAACAAUGACAUUUACUAUUUAGCUUGUGGACAUUUUGUUAGUGAUACUCGUUUACAUUCAUGUUACAGUGGCUUUAUUACUUAUGCAAUUUCAUGCUAAGUAGAGGCAUCAUGUUGUAGUAAAUUUUCAUGCUUACUUACUAGUGGUUCAUAUUGCUUACAUUUACACUUACCCCUUUUUAGUUGUUGGGCCUAGUGGCGCAUUUCACUGAAGUCAGUAAUUGCCCACUGGGAACUAUUAUUUAAUAGUUCUCAUGCCCUCUGCUUUAUGUUUCCUUUCAAAGCCUUCGGCACCGGCGGAGGCACGGGAUCGCGGCAAGGGUGUCGCCUAGCUAGACAGAGAGGAGCUACUUUUGAGCUUAGGUGGUUACUCUUUCUUUUGUCGUAGUGAGAGAGAGAUUUUUGUACCAUGUAUAGAGACCCACCUAUGUACUCUUUUAGCACUUGUAUUUGGGUUUUCUUUGUACUACUUUAUGGUUUCACUUUAUGGAUUUAUAGUUGUAUGAUUACUCUCCUGUUGUAGAAUCUAGUAGUACUUUGCUCUGAUAUCGCUAGAUCUCUUGUAUUAUUGUUUUAUUUACUGCUUUUCGUAGACGCCUUAUAUGUUUUAGACAUAUGGCGGGUCUGAACACGCGCCGGGCGGGCUUCCGCUGGGUCCCGGGGCAUGACAGCUUGCUUGCCAUUGUGCUCAUUCGCACAUGCUCGUAAGGGUCGCUCCCCACAAGUCAGCACUCCGGAGAUAGCCAUCGCGACAUAAGCUCGCCUGUGCGGGAUUUGGCGCCGAAAUGGGAUGCCGUGGGGGAGGCUCAUUCCUAGGGUGGGGAUGUUGACUACCACGGAGCCAUUAGGCACGGCGCAAGCCGGACUACCCACGGGUAGGUCCUACAUUGUCACGCCCCAUGCCCCGCCUAUUUGGUCGGGUUCGGGCACGCCAACAGACAACCGAACGGACAAGGUUUCUCCUGUACCGCGGACAGAGUCUCCCCUGUACGUCCAAGGCGUUGCAAUCAAUACAAUGCACGAAGUUCCAACCAGGAACACAUUUCAACCAAAGAUUGCAUAAGAAAGUAUAAAAAAAUAUAAAACAACUAAGUUAUUACAACAUUCAUCUUUAGGUGCAUUUUACAUUUUUCCAACUUCCGAAUACAAUCCAAGUUACAAUAAAUUAUUACAAGUUUGUUCCUUUGUCUUCAAACCCCUAAGCUAGACCACCUCGGGAUACCGCUAUCUCAGUCUCGAGGGUAGGGCCGCUAUCUACGGCGCUACGCCUUUGCCUCGUGCCGCCGCGCCGCCGCGUCGCUCACGUGCGAACCUGUAACACCCCAAAACAACGUGGGGUGAGAACCAACUCCAUGGUUCCCAGUGGGUACGGCCACCCAAGGGAAAAGCUCUACCAAUAGGUCCAAGGAGGCACUGCAACAUGUUAGUCCAACAUAUAUAUAAACGAAUAAGGAAAAACAUGCUAUGCCUCAGAAUAUGCAAUAUGCAAGUCCUGUAUCUCAUGCAAGUAGAUUAAUUGAUUCUACUUCAAAUUAUUCGCCAUUCUUUACUUGUAGUCGUUCUUUACUUUAUUAGCUAUUCUUUAUUCUUUACUAAGGGUACUCACACCUUAGUCAUAUUAUGCUUAUUUGUCAUUCUUUCUUAAGGUUACUCUUACCUUAGUCACACUAUGCCACUCGACUCGGUCUUGAGUCAAUCAACGGCAGAUAAUCCGCGCUCUGUCCAGCUCGAGGUGAAGGAACUCACACAUGCACCUCAGCCUUCCACAGCUCACCGCGCUCUAUGACCUAGCCACCCGGCGGCGAAAUUGUCGCACAUGUCACAUCGAUGGUUCGAGUUAACCAGCGGUAUGAUCCACAAUCCGGCUCAACCGAUAUAAACCACAAUUCGGCUCACCCAUCCGGCGGCGAAAUCGUCGCACACGCCACGUCGAUGGUAUAGCCCCGGACGGCGAUAUCGUCGCACACGCCGAACACCAUUCUUAGUGUUCCAUAAGCUCUAGGAUUCCGGAAUCCAUUUCAUAUAACUCAAGGGUUGGUCUUAGCCCUAUAGUAUCGACCUAUCUAGGUCCAAUGUUCUUUCCACCCUAGGUCCACUUGACUCUAGGCUUAAUGCUUUUACCACAUAACCUAGGUUUACUUUAACUCUAGGUUUAUCCCAUAACCUAUGUUCUUUAACACUAGGUUCAUAUUCAUUCUUAUCCAUCCUAGGUCCAUGAUACUAGUUUCAUACUCAACCUAUGUUCAAUAACACCACACUUGUUCAACCUAUGUUCUUUAAUACUAGGUUUACAUGCCACACUUGUUCAACCUAUGUUCUCUAACUCUAGGUUUACAUGCCACACUUGUUCAACCUAUAUUCUUUAACACUAGGUUUACAUGCCACACUUAUUCAACCUAUGUUCUCUAACUCUAGGUUUACAUGCCACACUUGUUCAAUUGAGUAUUCUACAUUUCACAUGCAUAUGUAAUCUAGUACAUCCUCAUAAUGCUAAUCAUAUAAUCAUGCAUUCAUGCAAUUCUCUAGCAUUUACAUAUUACGUCAUAUGCAUUCACUUAGCAUUCUAUAACAUGCAACAUGCAUUCUCUUUUGUAUUUCUACUUUAUGUCUUUAGCAUGCAUUCUCUUUUGUAUUUCUACUUUAUGUCUUUAGCAUGAAUUCUCUUUAGCUUUUACUACAACAUGCUUAUCAUACAUUUUCUUUAGCAUUCUUACAUUAACAUUUCUAUACAUGCAACAUGACUAACAUAUAUCAUUUACUUUAUGCUUUCCACUUAGCAUUAUUUACACUAUGUCACUAUGCAUUACUUAGUAUUCUCACAUUAUGACCAUAUGCAUUAUUUGGUAGCCUAAUAUAGCAUUUCACCUUAUGCAUUUAUGUAUUCUACCACUAGCUACCAUUACAUAUAUUAAUAGUAAGCACUAGUCUUAGACAUACAGGCGACCUAGUCGCUUCGGUAAACACAAUCUACCUCAAUUCGCACUCCGAUUGCUCGUAGUCACUUGCAAUCGGCCUCCCGCGGCACCCGUGACCUGGUUCGGCCCGAACUCUCGCGCGACCACCCGAACGACCUCCAAUCCAUGAUCCGGAAAUUAAAAGUCUACGGUUAGUUGCCACGAGCCCACGAUUCCGUUUUCAUGAUUUUAGGAUGUCGCCUCGGCCCUACAGGCGGAAACGAAGCUGAAACGUCCGUUUCUUCAAUAUCUUCGCACCGGCUCGAUGAAUCGCCGAACCGACUUCGCCAACGCGUUCGUAUACCUAACAAUUAGAUUUAUAUAGGUUCAAUUUAGAUCAAACCCAUCUACUAGCAAAAAUGCCAUUUUUGAGCCCUAGCAAGUUACAUAGUAAGAAGUCACCAUCUAGCCUCAUGAUUCAAGCAUUAGUCCUCUAUCUAGCAUUUAGGAGUUCCAAUAAAUCCAUUUUUAGAGCAUAUAAAUGAAGCCCUAAAGAUGGAUACUCGAAGAAGCUUACCUCAAAGCUUGCUCCAAGCCAAGGAGAAGAUGAAGAUGAUGAAGAUGAUUCACUUUCAAGCUUCAACUCCACCAAAUCCUUCAAUUUUGGAAGAGAUCUAGAGAGAGAAAUGGAGGUUUCUCUCUCCCUCCAUGUAUGCGUGUGUGUGUGUGUGUGUGAGUGUUGUGGCUGCACGGUUGAGGGAGGAGAAGAAGGCUAGUGCUGAUUUUACACAAAGCCUCCUCAACAAUACACUAUUCACAUCAGUUUAGCAGAUACAAACUGACGUUUUUCGCCGGAGCCCUUCUGAAUGUCCGUCUGUACUCAAAUUUAACAGUCAUGCUCGGUUUUACUUAGUAAGUACAAAGAAAUUUUAAUCUUUCAGUUUCGACCAUAUUUGGUCAGCGAAAGCUCCACCGAACUGUAAUCUCUAGCAGAUAGCAGUCGGAUUUUUUUUUUUCACCUUCCGGGUGUCAGAAUGAUAUGAAACUUUAAAUCUAGCCUCAUAAAAAUAAUUCUGACAUAUUCUCCAGUUUUCAUAAUUUUCUGACACUGUGCAUUUACUGCUAAAAUAUCAGCUCCGUUUCUCACAGAAAAUUCUAAAUCUUCUAUUUUCGUUCCGAUUUCAGCACGAGUCAUUCCCGACUUAUACUUUACUUCUCUAAAUCCAAUAAAAAUAGUAUCUCACACUAUUUUUAUUUAUUUUUUACUUUUAUAUCAAAAUCUGAUAUGUUACAAGCCCAAAGUGUACCGGUACACUUCCUCGUGUCACCGGUAACACAACUGCGCAGAGACAAAACCCGAGAGCUGCUUCUCGGUUUCGUAGCAUUUGUACCGGUAUACUUUCAAUGCUGUACCGGUACACAUUGCUGUACCGGUUACAACUCGAUGGUUGUACCGGUACACUUUGCCCAGACUGAAUUUUUGGCUCCGUUUCGAUUCUAUUUCGCACCGAACGAUGCUAAAACCUUUCCAACUCCUUCUAAACUCACUUUUAACCCUUCCAACCUCGUUGGAAUGUUAAAUAGAACUCGUCCAACCAUUUCAUUCGCACUCUUUAGUCAAUUUGACUAAAGUCCAAUGUUUUCUACCGAAGUUUCGGCAUGUUACAUACAUGAUUGGAAUAUUAUUGGACGAAUAUGCAAAGUAAACAUUGGACAAAUUAGUCCAUAGUGACAUUUUACUAGUUGUGCUUGUGGACAAUAUGUUGUUUUUACAUACACAUAUUCAUGUUAGAAUGACAUUUACACUUAUGCAUAUCCAUGCUAAGUAGAGGCAUAGUAGUUUUACAAGCUUUAUUCAUAUUGAGUAUACAUGUUAUUCAUUCUAUUUAAAUGUUAGAACUUACUACUUUUACCUUUUAGCCUAGUGGUGCAUUUCUCUGAGGUCAGUAAUUGCCCACUGGGAACUAUUGUUUAAUAGUUCUCACGCCCCUGUUUAUUGAUGUUUUACAGAGCCUUCCACACUGAGAGAGGCUCGGAAUCGCGGCAAGGGAGUUGCCUCUAGUUAGUUGUGAGGAGCUUCACUUUUAGGUGGUUCACCUCUUUUUCUGUUUUAUUUGGAGAGCCCUAUGUAGAGACCCCCACUUUUGUAUCUUUGACUCUUAUAUUAGAACUUGUUGUACCUACUUUUACUGUUUAUGUUAGUAGAUUAGUCAUUUUAUUUUUCGCAUUAUUCUAGAAUCUAGAUGUUGUAUGCUCUGAUACUCUCAGAUGCUUUAUUAUUAUUACUGUUUUAUUUAUCGCUUCUUGUAGACGCCUUAUAUGUUGUGGGUAUAUGGCGGGUCUGGACACGCACCGAGCGGGCUUCCGCUGGUCCCGGGGCGUGACAGAGAAUAUGCUAGAUUCAUGUGAACUAGAUAUGCAGACUUAUGGCACUAUGAGAAUUGAAAAUUAUUACAUAUGUGGCCGACGUUGAGCAUUGCAUGCCUUGUGAUUAUUUGGGAUGUGGGAUUCCCCAAGGUCCUUGGGUGGGAGGACUUGAUUAUACUCGCGUCGUCAGUUGUGGCUUGUGAAGGUCGCGACUCCCAAGCCGUGAGCUCUGGAGUGUCACAGUUAGAUUGAGAUGGGGGAGAGAGUCACGAUGGUGUGCCCCCGGCAGACGGUCACAGAGGUGACAGUACGUGUGUGGCGAGUUGUGGUUCAACCUUUGGGUGAACCGAUUGGAUUUGGAUCAAGGCAUGGUCAUGGCAUUUUAUAUAUGUUGCAUACAUGGUAGAACAUUGAUAUGCUGAUUUUGGUAAAGGCAUAGUAGAUAACAUUGAAGCAUGAUAUAUUUAUAUAUGAUGAGCAAGUUAGGUUUAUUGUUUCUAUUUAUUACCUCUUUGUCAUAUUGACCUAUUGUUAUCUCUAUGCCUUCUUAGACCUAGUGGGAAAAUGACGGGGUUGGCGGCCGAACUCACUGGGAACUUUGUUUAGUUCUUAAUUACACCCUGUUUUGCAGAGCCAAGCGCGAGCACAUUCGUCGAGGACCGCGGCAAGGACAUCGAGCCCUAGAUAGUAAGGACCACCGGGACUAGAUCAUCUACCUUUAUGUAUAGCAAGAAAAGAAAGACAUGUAAAAGCUUUUGAGAAAGAAAUAUGAUGUAAAUGUGGGAGAUAUCCUCUGUGUAUAAAGGAGGAAAAUUGUAAUAAGUUAAUGAAUGCAAAUGUUCCAUGUGUGGAAUGUGUAAUAGAUAGUUUCAAUUCUCUUGCAUUUGUGGUAUGCCUCUUGCAAAUGUUUUGAUGCCAAUAUCUCCUGUUUGGAUAUAUGUAUGCAUAGACUUUGUUACGCCUUGGGUGGACAGGAGAAACUCUGUCUGGUCGGCGGGUCUGUUUUGGGCCCAAACUGUCCAAAUUGGCGGUGUCGAGUCGUGACACUGAUACAAUAUCAGUAGUAAUCUCAUUUAGAAAUUCAAAAUACCUAGAUAUAUCGAAAUACUCAUUAGAAAUCCAAGAUACCUAGAUAUAUCGAAAUACUCUAUAAUAUUACAUAACUUGAACCAAACGAGCCCUUAGAGUUUACCAGGAUUUAAUCCUUCAAAAGGAAGAUGAAAGUAUCCAUUUGAACCCAAGUUUGGGAUCUGAACUCAGAAAGGAGAUUCAGACUUUUAUGCAUAAAACAUAAAUUCGAGGGUUGGUUUGGGAUUAAGACUUGAAGGAAAGAUCCAAAUCUUCACAGUAUAGAAUUUUAGAUUUCAAAAUUAUAAUUUUAAUCCAACUUUAAUAUUUUUCUAAUUUUAUAUAUUUUGUUGUUUUUCGUGUCAAAAUAAGUUGAAAAUAUACUCCGCCACUUUUUACUAAUAUUUUUUAACAGUAUUUUAUAUAGAAAUAUAAAUUUAUUAUGUAUAAUAAAGAAUUUUAAAAAAAAGUUUAGGUGACUUUCAAAAUAGGUAUAACAUUUAAUAUACCCCUCAAAACUUUUGAAACAUUUCAUAUACCUCUAUUUUUUUGUUUCAAAUAUAUCCUAUAUAUAUUUUCUCCAUUAUUCAAAAAUAACUCAGUUAUUAUUACCCGUUAAGUCAUCUCAGGUUAAACUCGCGUGAAAUUUAUAGCAGAGUUAAAAUGAAGUCAAAAUAUCUCAUUUGACUCUAAUUUAAGGGCAAAUAAAAAAAAUUAAUAACGAUAUAAGACUAUAUUUGAAAUGAUAAAAUAAUAAUUUUAUAAAAAUAAUAAUUAUUCUUAACAGUGCACUAAAUAAAAUUUUAAAAUUUUAAAAGCAAUUCAAACUUGAAAAACUUUGGAUACUAAUUAUCAGAUCGUUUGCCACUUGCCCCAGGGACUAUUGUGAAGCCGAGUGGUGGCUAUUUAUACGGAUGGUUUAGUUCGGUCCAAGCUCCAAUUCUUAUCUCAAUCUUUCCCCAGGACUUUUUUCGAAAAUAACCCUGUGAAAUUUCAUAUUUGCCAAACUAACCCUGUAAAAAUUUUAUUUGUGAAACUAACCCUCCUCUCACCACCUCAGCCGCCAGAUCAGCAUUUCUCAUAAAGACGGUGACUCGUUCACCGUCUUUAAGCAGGCUCUUGAAGGCGGUAAAUGGUUGACCGUCUUCUCUAGGCCUACCAUACCGCCUUUUCAGCAAUUCCCCGCGCACCCUACCGCCUUCUCAGCAAUUCCCCGCGUGGCGCAAGGUGCCUAGAGAAGACGAUCACUCGUUUACCGUCUUCACAAAGGCGGUAAAUAGUUUACCGUCUUAUCUUGUCAUAAGCCAUUCUACCUAGCCAGCCUAAUUUUGCCAAGUCCUCGAGAGGGGGCCUAAAACACAGAUAAGACGGUGAGUGGUUCACCGUCUUAAUUAGACGGUGAACUAUUCGCCGUCUUUAGAGUAAAUUGCCACCUGCCCUAAUUUGGCCAAGUCGUGGCUAAAACACAGAUAAGACGGUGAAUCGUUUACCGUCUUAUCUAUACUGCCAUAAAGGCGGUGAGUGGUUUACCGUCUUAUGUGUAGUGCCAUAAAGACGGUGAAUAGUUCACCGUCUUAUCUGUGUACAAGCACACAGUCCAGGACUUAGCCAUUUUUUUCGGGAUUCUGGAGUUUGCACUAAAGGCGGUGAACCAUUCACCGCCUUUAGUGCAACCAGUGCCAGGUUGAGCUCAAUUCUAGCGCCUAUUUCAACAAGUUUGAGGCAAGUUUUUUCACGAUAAGAAAUAUUCAAACGAGAAACACAACAUCACGAGUGGAAUAACAAAAUACAAUCAACUGGAUAAAAAUAUCAAACAAAACACUUAGAAAUAUACAAAUAUGAACUAAAUCAUGUAUUAUAUAAUAUUAUACAAAGUAUAUUCUCAAAAUAAAAAAAAUACAAUCAGUCUCUCGAUCUUCCUCUCCCUCGACGUCCUCGGCCACGUCCUCGGCCACGGCCACGGCCACGUCCACGUCUACGGCCACCCUGUACAUCGAGCUCGGCAAUAGGUACAUCAUCAAGAGCCUCGAUACCGGCCAUCUCAUCGAGAUCCGCAAUGAUAAUGCCCUCGGUAUGCUCCAGAAUCGCCUGAGUCUGAGUCUCCUCUGUCUCAGGUCGAGCACCCUCGAUAAUGGCCGGUGUAGAUGCUAGACGGGCCUGUGAUGAUGACGCGACAUGACGUCGAGAGUAGACUAAUCUAAAGUGCUCUCGAGAGACUGGCGGCGGAAGUGAGUCCAAGUCCAGCGGCAAUAAAGUAAAUCUAGGGGCGGCGGGCAAAUCUGCAACAUCACUAGGAGAUGGAGAUGGUGAUACUCGUAGGCUCGAUCUCGAGUAUGAUCCAGUCGGUGUCGGUGAGUGUCUCCUGUGAUGACCCGAUGUCGAGGGUUGACCAAAAUCUCGACCUCCAACAUCAGCGACGACAGGUAUGGAAGGAAUGUACUCUAGUACUGACUCAAUCUGGACAUCCAUGCUCGUCAAUGUGUCUAUCAUCGCAUCGUAAGAAGGUCGAUCAUGAACUAGCCCUCUGAUGCCCAUUUGAGCCUGUCGUAAUGCGUCCACCUGCAUUAUAGAAAAAAACUCAUUAGAUGCAUUAUAUAUUAACUAUAAGGUAAUGUGUAUAAAAAAUUAACAUAUGAGUGAUCGUACCAGUGCUCUCUCGGUCUGGCCGCGAGGGUGGUAUGUCAAUGGUGGACGCUGUACUGGACGAGAAAUCCAUCUUCUCGUAAUCUGCCAAUACCACUCCAUAUAUAUAGAGGUCGCAUGUACCGGGUCAUCACCGACAAUCGGAUCCUGGUCAAUAAUAGCCUGUAAUCGCUGUCCCCAUCUCUCGAUGUGUGCGGCAUGAAAGUGGCCCCAAUGCUCAUCUGGCCGCCCCUGAGAUGUGAAGCGACGGAUAGUCUCCACAUGAAUAGGUAUAUGCUGCAGGAGACCAAACUGUCGAAGGACUCGAUCGGGCACGUGAAGCUCGACGAUAUGAAAACAAAUCAGCGUGGUCCGCGAUCGCCAUACCUCACUGCCCUGUACACAGAAUGCUGGUAGCACCUCUAAUACAGCAUCUGUGUACGGCCGCCAUGUAAUCUAUGAAAAAGCCAAUAAUAGUCAGCAGAAUGCAUUAAUACGGUUGAAUAUUGAAAUAAUGGUUGCAUUAAUACGUACAUGUGUCUCUCGCUGCUGAUCUAGCUCAUCUCUAUAGAACUCUAUAUCGGUCGUCCUGACAUUGGCCCCAAAACGUAAACCGCCGGCAUUCGUCCACCUGAUAUUUGAAAAGUAUGUUAGUUGCAAAUGUAUAGGAAGAAAUGUAAUAUGUAUCAUAUUUAAUUGUUAUACCGGCAACCCAAAGGGCAAUCAGCCAUGUCGGCAAUAGCUCCAACGCUAGUAGGUCGGCCGACAUGAAGAUGGUCCCAUGCCCAAAUCUAUAAAUAAAUUACAAUAAAUUAGACAUGUAAACUUAAAUAGGAGAAGUUUUAUAUAACAAUUAUUAUAUAUUACCUGUACUAAUAUCGCGAAACAACAGCAUUCGACCUUAUCCUUUAAUGACGCCGUUCCCAAUGCGCGAUAAAGGUAGGCCAAUGCUGCCGACCCCCAGGCUAAACCACCACAUGCGUCAAAAUCUGCCAAAAGUGGUAGCCACUUAAGAUGAACUCUAUAUCCGGUGGGGUUUGGAAACAGACUACAGCCAAUCUGAUAUAACAUAUAUGCACGGGCUAUGGCUGCAACUUAUCCAGCCGGAGCAUCCAAAUGUAUAUGAUGGAAGUGCUGGUAUAUCCAAUCUAAUCGAAUCUGACCAGCUCGGAUGCCAUCCGGUACAACCCCUAAAAGCUCCUGACAAAUCUCUAUCCACGGAUGCUGUGUAGUCCCUGUGACAGGCGCUCCAUCAACACGAAGACCUGAAAUAACCGCCACAUCCUGAAGUGUAAUCGUCAUCUCACCGUGGCGGAAGUGGAAGGUCUGGGUCUCCUGUCGCCAUCUCUCGACCAGAGCUCCCAAUAGAGACUGAUCGAGUUGCAGACGCCUAAGUCGAGAAAUGCCGUAGAAUCCUGACUGUCGUAGCAAAUCUAGCACCGCUGGAUGAUCCAUAUCCCACUGGUUCAAUUUGCAGCCAUGCUCUACGAACUGAGCGACGCGAUAUCCCUACAGUGACAAAAAAAUAGUUAGCACAACAUUUAUAUGCAUUAAUACUAAACAUAAUUUAUAGAGAAAUAAUUCUUACUCUCACCUCAGUCGUGAUAAAUGAAGACCUAUGUAGAUGCUGCUCUGUCAGGACGGACUCAUCAACGCGGUCGCCGCCUCCUGCUAGAUCUGGGGGUGCCAUCGUGGCAAUUUAAAGAAUUUGUUAAUUAGUAAGCUAUUCGCAACUAGCGGGCAUCUGAAUAUUGGAAUACUUGAAGUUUAGUAAUAAAUACUAGUAAGUUAGGUAACAAUGCUCCUACGUCGAGCAGUCCAUUGCGUUGUGGCUCGAUGCUCUGUAUUCGCUAUGGACAGGUAUUUCUAUAAUGAGCGGCUGCUGUACAAAUGCUGCAUUUUGUUCGUCGCAAGGGACCUGGUCUGCGUCAUUAUACUUAACGUACUGUUGAUCGGGUCGACCUUGCUUUCUUCUAACUGGCAGGCGCGUAGCAGAUUGGUGGGCCGCAGGGGAUGUCGGCGCAGUAGGGCCUGUCUUUGACUGAUGGAAAAAGCGAUUGGCGUAUGUCUGGCGAUAACACUCUACAGUAUACAUAGAACAAAGACAUGAUAGAUCUAUUUCUCGAGUUGUGAAUUACUGGGGCAAACUGCUAAAAUACAGAGUAGGUUGUUCCCAGUUAGCUUGAAUCUCGGCCGCAUUACACAUCGGCGCUUCUGUCCAUUAAUGGUAAAUCGUGUAAUGCAGAGUGUGCCUGUUGGGACUUCAACAUCAUAGUCCGCAAAUCGAUCAUAGCAUGUGUCCCGCGCCGUCAGCGCAUAUGCCAAGUAACUCGCCGACUUUUAUUUUGGGUAGCUAAAGCGUGGCCGUCAUACUCUUCACGGCAUUGCCAAACAGCUUUAAACCUAAAAUACACUAUCUGGCAGUUAAAGAAAGUCCGCACAAAUGCCGUUACUUGAAGAGGCAGUCGGAUAACCCUUAGUACGUGUCUAUUUCAGCUGCUCGACAUAUUUUAGUCAUCAAACCGAAGCAUCGACCUGCCAUCAAUGCCCACGCGCCCCAAUACUGCUUUGUAAUAAACUUACGAGCUCUAUCGACCCACUUCCACGCGCAUGACCUCAUCGUAGCACGCGAAGCUCUGCUUCAGUUUAUAAUAUUCUAACCGCCAUUGAGCAGCUGCCGAUACUAUAACAAAAUUUGACGGUGCUAAUAUGCAUUCAUAUUUAAAAACCGCUUAGCGGCAUAUUUCGCUUCAUCAUUGUGUCGAAGCCACGCCACCCGGUGUGCCAUGCGCCCGUCGAUAUAGGCAUAUAACUCACAGCCACUAUUUCUAUUAAGCCACUAAAUCUAUGUCAGAAUAAAACAAACGCGAUGCGAUUGCGUAUACGUAAUGGCCCAAGUAUGUAAAAGACCAACUGGCCAGUCAGCGAUUUUCAGCGCGGCUUCGGCAAUUGCAAAAGCUAAAAAAAAAUCUAUCAUUUCGCAUCAAGACACGACACGGCCGUGCGCUAUCACUGCAUGGCCUACGUAUUGGCGCAUACAAGGUGAAGCUCGCAUAAUGGCUCCAACCACCGGGCGCCAAUGUGCAAUCACAUGAUAGAGAUGAGCAAAUGACGCCAAAAAGACGGCCGGAAUACGACAUAUUGCGCCUGCCCUGAUGGCAUACCAUAGAUCAAGGCCGCCAUAGAGUUGCCCAUAUAUAUCUCUGGCAGGCAUAGUAAAUCCCGAGGCAGCAUGAUUGCUCUGUGUAUGCACUCGCUCGCGCAGGUCCCGAAAUAAUGUGUAAUCUUGCUCGCCUGGCACCAUGGGGCCUUCAAUAACUUUCAUUUGAACAUGCAAAGUGGAUCGCAGGACUCCCCGUUCCUGCCCUUACUCUUCGCGCCGUCAUGAUUUAGCUCUUGGCCUUUCUCAUUCAACAGGGCAGAAUUAGUUACAAUAUGAGAUUUUAAGUACAAUUCACGAUGCGGCGCCGCAUUCAGGCCAGUUGGAAUACCACCAAGUAUGUUGACGGCCGCGUAUGUUUUACUCGAAAUAUGUAGCAUCCUUAAGGAAGCGCGAAGCGUGUAAGCGCUCCAAGGAGCGCAUUUUCCGCUCACUAUGUCAUUUCACCUGUAUACAGCUUGUUUGUAGAUUUCACUACUUUCAUCGUAACAUUGCUGAGUAAGGUGGCCAGCGAUCAGAGCGUCCCGUAAAGAUGCUUACAUUAAAAGUAUUCUCACGGAGACAAGUCCGUCAAUGCUAGUAGCUCGGCAAUUGUACGUCUAAACAUUGCGCACUCACCAUCGAAUUGAACCAUACUGUUGUAUCCAUUAUUAUGCCUGAAGGAAGAUUGUCUCCCGGAUGUGGCAAUAAAAUAAGUUCCUCAUCAGGAUUGUCUACAUAAUCGUAUGUUUUACAUGCGGGUCGUCAUUCACUGUAAAUGGGCAUUGCGGCAGGGCUAAUUUAAUCCAGCCAUCGUGAUAAUCUUAACUGUCAACGGGCUAGAUCAUUCUCGCAAUCGUCGCCUACGCUGGAUUCCGUCAUUCUCAAUGUGGGCAUCUUCCUGAUGACCAAUCACUUACUGAAUGAGUUUAUGUGCCGAUUACCGUCAUUAUCAUCUGCCUCUCAUCCGACAAUAUUAAUCAAGAACUGCCUCAUUCGCAAUUUUGUAUACGGGUGUAGAUAGGCCCUGCAGCUACGUCGGCCAGAAUGUUUCCUAUCAAUAUAGGUAAAAUUUCAUUUAAGCUAUUUAAUUACAUAAUCAAAAUUUUCUUUACCCUCCAGAUUGCGUCAAAUUUUCAUUAGGCUGUAUGAAUUCCUCGGGUUGCCGUCACGUGAGCAUCGAGGGUAUGGCGCACCAUGACGCGAAGUGGCGCACCAAGUGACAGUCGAGGGUCUCGCGACGUGACGUCCAAACGGUUGCGCCACGUGAGUGCUACAGGUGGUUGGGGCAGCGCGUGACCAGUCGAGGGUUGCGGCACGUGACAGCUGAGUUGGCGGCACGCGUCGGAGACUGACUCUGUUGCAGUAUUCAUAAUUAUCAGUAUGAAAGAAUUUCAUAAUUAAAAAAAUCAUUCACCGCAAUCUUGAGAUAUACAUUACUCGACUGUCAUUCUUAUGGGCCGGUUUGCAUUAUCAACUUGCACGGGUCACCAAUUGAUGUCUCCGGAAAUACGCACAUCGAUAUAAUUAUGCUAGCAGGGCUUGUGUACAUAACUUCGCGCAGGCUGAUAUCUUGGUGUCUCUAAAGGGAUAUCACAAUCUUUUGCUAUGUAUAGGGACACACAUCAAAUGUUGCAAAUACGAAUCGGCAUUAAUCCCUCCAAUGAUUGCAUCGCACAACUAUAUCAUGAGCAAUUUAUAUUCAUUUGGGCUCCCAGGUAGGGUCAUCGAUGUGUAUUUAGACAUACAUUCUUCUCUAUUACAAUUUGAGCUAAAUAAUACAAUGCUGGCCUCUCGAAAUUCGGGCCGAUAGGUCGUAUCUGAACGAAAUCGGCAAUCAUUUCUUUCGAUCUCACAACCGCAAUAUCGGGGCCAAUUCGCUAUCCAUAUCUAACUGUCCAUCCUCCCAUGAAGCCCUAAGAGCACAUCCCGACGACUAGCCAAUUUUAACUCAACAGAAAAUAGACACACAUUCUCGGAUGUUCUCAUGCAAGCGAAAGACACACCUAAGUGAAAUGAUAACUAACAUGGAUAGAAAAUUUGCAACAGAGAACAUAUACAAGGGAGUGUUACUAGGUUACCAAACUUGUAACUUAGCGUUUAAACAUAGUUUAGACAAGUUUCAAAAGUGAAAAACUAGGCUUAAACUCGGGUAAGAUAUAGAUUAACAAGCCUGAGUUAUUGCAUUGAAAAUAAGGAAAUAGAACGAUUAAAAAUAGUGGAUUGCCAUCGUUUCUAUGGUACAUCUUAACGCAGGAGGUCCCGUCUAUACACGCGGAGCCUGCUCUUUUCAAUUUAAUGCAAAUGUUAUUGUUUACCUUGUAUAGUUCACAGCUCUUGGCUCUACGCGAUCUACAGUAAUAAGGCUCUUUUCAGCAAAGAUUGAUCCAUACAGUGACGGGCAUUUAAUUACGAAGGUUCGGCUAGGUAGCUGACCGCUGUUAGUCGCGUUCUUUCAAAAGCGGAGCAUAACCUUUUGCUUCUUUAUGAGUACGCAUUUUGCUCCGCGCUGUAAUGGAUAACCAUAUUGGCUACCAAUGGGAAUUGCUUCUUAAUUCCAAAAUUUAGAUGAUUGAUUUGCACAAGUGAGAACGCAUAAAUUCCAUAUAACAAUCAUCAGGCUAUCACGACUUUAACUAGGUCUAAACCCUAAACACUAAACCUAGUUUAAACUAGGUUUAAGGGUUUAGGGUUUAGUUUAAACUAGUAUAAACUAGGUUUAAGGGUUUAGGGUUUAGUUUAAACUUGUUUAAACUAGUUUAAACUAGGUUUGGGGUUACUUUAAACUAGGUUUAGGGUUUAAGGUUUAGGGUUUAGUUUACACUAGUUUAAACUAGGUUUAGGGUUUAGUUUAAACUAGUUUAAACUAGGUUUAGGGUUUAGGGUUUAUACUAGUUAAACUAGUUUAGGGAGUUUAGGGUUUAGGGUUUAUACUAGUUAAACUAGUUUAGGGUUUAGGGUUUAUACUAGCUAAACUAGUUUAGGGAUUUUAGGGUUUAGGGUUUAUACUAGUUAAACUAGAUUAAACUAGGUUUAAACCUAGAAACUUGCUAAGAUAGAAUAUUGCUUGCACUGUGGGUUGCUGUGGCACGGGGGAAGGCUCGGUGGGUCGACAGCGACCGGCGGCGGCGACGUCGGCUUGGGCGGCGGCAACGUCGACUUGGGCGGCGGCGACUGGCGGCGGCGAUGACGGGGUGCGGCUCUUGGUUGGAGAGGGAUGGGCAGAGAGGGAGAGAGAGACAGAGAGAUAAGAGAGAAAGAGAGCGAAGAGUGAGGGAGAGGUGUCGGGGCUUCGGGUAUACCUAGGUAAGACGGUGAAUUGUUCACCGUCUUCAUAAAAAACAGUGGAGACGGUGAACGAUUCACCGCCUUACCUUGCCCACCUCCUGGGGGGUUACCAAUAAAGACGGUGAAUAGUUCACCGUCUUUACUGCAGCACAAAUAAGACGGUAAACAGUUCACCGUCUUAUCUGUGUUUUAUGUCUCCAGGACUUGGCCAAAGUUGGGGGGUGUUGUCCUGGCCAAAGUUGAGGGGUGUGGGGGGAUAAUGUACCGUCUUAAGUAAGACGGUGAACUGUUUACCGUCUUAUCGAGGGCACAACAGUUCCAAAGGGGGGUGUAUUCGCUCUAAAGACGACGAAUAGUUCACCGUCUCAUGAAGGCGGUGAACCAUCUACCGUCUUCAUGAGAAAUGCGCAUAGACGGUGAACGAUUCACCGUCUUUACGAGAAAAAUCCGAUCUGGCACCGACGUAGCGAAAGGAGGGUUAGUUUUACAAAUAAAAUUUUCAGAGGGUUAUUUGGCCAAAUAUAAAAUUCUAUAGGGUCAGUUCCAAAAAAAGUCCCUCUCCCCAAUCUCUCUCUCUCUCUCCCUCUCUCUCUCUCUCUCUCUUAAUUCCCCCCUCUUCCCUAAGCCNNNNNNNNNNNNNNNNNNNNNNNNNNNNNNNNNNNNNNNNNNNNNNNNNNNNNNNNNNNNNNNNNNNNNNNNNNNNNNNNNNNNNNNNNNNNNNNNNNNNAAUAUGUCACAACUCUCUCAUAGGCCUAUCUCUAUGUCAUCAUGUCUAAAACAUGGAAAGUAGUAGAUGUCCAUGGCCUAUCACUAAGUCAAUACAAUAGUCUCAUAAUGUGCUAAUCUAAGUGCCCCUUUAUGACACUUUCAUUUACUAAGUCCGAGCUUAACCCGAAUGUUCAAAAAUGCAUAAUUGAGCCGCUCUAAACAUAUGAAGCAUGUUUCCAAACGACAAGUGCGAACACUACCCAAAUGCAUGUAACAAUACCUAGAAUGCUCUACUAUAUAAAGUAAAAAUUUUCUUAUACAUAACACAUGCAUUUUAAGUGUUCUAAAAUUCACAUAAAUUCAUUAAGUAUAGAUUUGCAUUUAAAAUGACGUUACGACGAGUAUAGCAAGCAUGGGGGCCAUUUCGCCCCGUUUUCAUGAAGCCAAACCCACCGAAAAUCGAAACUCUUCGUUUCGCCGAACGAAGGUGUCCACUAGUCUCCUAGAAUCCUAAAGAUGUAGAAACAAGAGUUACACAAUCGAAACGAACAUUGAAAAGCUCAAUCUUUAACCAUCUAAGCAUAGAGGGCAUAACUCACCUCUUAUGAUGAAAUCCCUUCUCAAGCUUCCAAAGAGAGUAAGAACCCUUCCAACCCAACCUAGAGGAAGGUUCUAAACCCAUCAAUUAGGUCUCCAAGCCCUCAAAUCAAAAAUCCCCAAAAUAAACCCUAAAUCUCAUUUUUAGGGUUUCAUAUGGUAAAACCUACCAAAACAUGGAUCAAAUGCUAGAAUCAAGUUACUAACCUCUCUAAAUGCCCCAAAACAAGCUCCAAAUCUUCUAAGGUUGAAGAUUGAUCCUCAAUCAAGCUUCUAGCCCAAGCUCCAAGCCUCCAAAGGUGAGCAAAGGGAGAGGAAGAUACUCCAAAGCCUCAAGAUCUUGCUCUCCUCCAACUCCUUCUUUUUCUCCUUCUUUUUCUCUCUCUAGAGUGAAAGUGAAGGAGAGAAAUGAGGGAGUGAGAGAGUGGAAAUGGCCUUAAGGCCCUUAGAAGCAACAAAAUCCAUAUAAGCCCCUCAAAAAAUCACCCUGUGCACCGCCCGGGUUUGGGCAGUUUUCAGACUGAGGGACCGGUCUCCCCAACCUGGGACUGGUCUCUCAGCCUGCCCCGAAAAUCCAACGUUCGAGAACCGAUCUCUCCCCGCAUGGGACCGGUCUCUCCCCGCGAAAUCGCGCUCGGGGACCGGUCUCACCCGCCAGGGACAGGUUGCCUCAAGUCCUGCCGCAGCACUGUUCUGAGGGGACCGGUCUCUCCUAUCAGGGAUCAGUCCCCGUGAGUGAAAACUCUCAGGACUUACAAAACUCUAGAGAUCGAACUUUUAGGCCGGAAUACCAUCUACAACCUUCCACCCAGUGUGGAAAAGUUCAGAAUCCAUAUCAAACACUCGAACCUCACAAUUUGCACAGGUCCAGUGUGCUAUAAUGUAUAUGGAUAUAUAUAUGUAGGAAUGUAAAGUAGAUAACCUGACCAUGUUUCUUUAAAAAGGGAUAGUAAAUUCAACCUAGAAAAUGGUAGAAUCAAAGAUUUCUUACGUGCUGAAAUUCGAAACAGUAUGGAGAACCUAUAAAACAAGUUCUAUGUAUGUAUGUAUGUAUGUAUGUAUGUAUAUACAUAUAGAUGUAUGUGUGCAUCAUGUUCAGAAUGAAAAGUUGGAUCAAAUUAGUUUUAAAUUUUGAAGUCGAAUGAUGUUAAUCCCUGUUUAAAAAGGUUAGCUAAUAGGUAAAAGGGGUUGAGCUGAAAGUUGUCGAUGGCUAAUAUGCUCAAUUACUAUAAACCUAAGUAAUAAGCUUUAUGUCAUAUAUGUGUAUAUAGAUGUAGUAUACAUAUAUGUAGAAGAUGAAACCUGAGUUAAGUUAAGUUAAUUUCCGAAUUAGCCUGAUUCUAAUUACUAUACCAAGGUUGAAUUAACCCCUAGAGUGAUCCGGCCAUUAAUAAACCUAUAGUAAACUGCAGGUUAUAUAGUUGAUAUGUGAACUAUUGUUUGGAGUAAAAUAGAACUUGUGGCAGGGAUUGUGACAUUAAGAGUUGAUGUUUACUACCUAAAGGGGGUUAAUUAUCAGUUAUUCUAGUUUCUAAAACCCUAAACUACCAUAGGGGACUUAAUAGAAGACUACACGUAUGUGUGUGUAUAUAUAUAUAUAUAUAUAUAUAUAUAUAUAUAUAUAUAUAUAUAUAUAUAUAUAUAUAUAUAUAUGCAACUUGGGGUUAAAUGCAAAGUUUAAGAAGAUGUGAAUAUGACUUAAGUUUAAUCCCUUUUAUUCCUUAAUGAAGGAAGGUUUGAUGUGCUCGGAAGCUCAAAUUGAUAUUCCGACGGACUUACGACGCGCUAAUUAAAAAACACUUCGUUCUAGCUUUAUUUGCAUCCAGUUGCGAGGGCUAGGCGCUUAUACAUUCCGAGACGUGGGUUUUAGCAUUUCGGCAUCCCUACAGGUGGGUGGUGCUUUCCGAAGUCAUCGAAUGACCUAUUAUAUUUAUGUCACUUUUUUUUAGCAUACAUGUAUUUUAUAUGUUUAAUAGUAUUCAUACAAUAUAGGGUUGAGCUUAAUGUGUGGUUAAUUAUGACAUGUGGUCUAAUUGUAUGCUUGGAAACACAAUUACUUGUGAACGGUGAAUAGUAAAUAUAGAACCCUAAAGAUGUAUGAACUUGUGUUGGACUAUGAGAUAGUUGACAAAGUGACAUUGUGAAUAGACUGCAUGAGUGUCACCUAAUAUUGUGAAUUUAAACAAAGUCAAUGAACUUGUAAAUGUGUGGCAUUAGAACUAGAUGAACUGAUUAAUAUCUAGACUUGGACAUGUAAAUCUAGCAGCAAAAGCUAGUUAAAGUGUGACAUCAUCAAUAUAUCUUCUAAGUGAGGAUUAGAUCAUACUCACAUAGUCUGUUUUGAGCUUGGCGGUGGUCGCUCCACCCAAGCAGUGCACUCCGAAGUUGUCACAUGAUGGGCUAACGUACUUGCCCAAGGAUUAACGUACUUGUCCAGCAGACGAUCCCUCAGGUGGUUCGAGUCCCCCGAUUUAGAGGGAUUUUGAGUUGUGAGUUUGGGGUUAACAAGUGUUAACCUAUAAGAUUCGGUAAUGGUUAUUAAUAGCAUGCAUGCAUAAAUUCCAUAUGUAAUAUACUGUCUCUUUCAGCUUUGUUUAGGCAUUGUAGUAGUUAUAUAUUACAGCUGGUUACUAUCUACUUUCUUUUCUUGCCAACAUAGACCUAAAUAAACCUAGUGGGUGAGUCGGCGAGGUCGGCAGCCGAACUCACUGGAAACUUUUAGUAGUUCUCAUCCCACUAACCAUGCAGAUUCUAGCUCAUGCGGGGUGGUUGAAGAUUGUGACAGAGACAACGCGCUAUAGAUAGCGACAUCCAUUGAGUAUAGUUAUACCUUGUAUAUUUCAUCUGUUUAUAGUUGAUGAAAGAAAAUGUAAAUUAUUCAUUUGAGAGAUAGCAAUGUAAAUGUAUGAAUUUUAUAACAUGUAAGUUUUGUAUUUGAAUUAAAGUAUUAAUCAAGUUACAUUGUAUGAAUGGUUAGUUAGUUUACUUCCAUUUGCUAGUGUUGCUUACCUUCGUAUAAGCCAUGUAUAUUGAAAAUUUACCUGGGCAUCUCAAUAUACAUGUUUAGUUGUUGUUGCUGAGCCUUAGGCGAACAGAGUAGGUUCUGUUCGUUUGGCGUCUGUGUGCGAACCCGACCCGACCAAAUUGGCGGUAUCGGGACGUGACAUUUUGCAGGAUUCUCUAUUUCAUCUAGACCAAAACCACAGUUUAUAAAUUCCGUGGAGAUUUUUUUACUGUGCAUCUAAAGAGGCCCUAACAGUAUAUGAAUUCCUUUAAAAAUAUUAAGGCCAAUUUGAAUAAAAAAUCUACAAAUUUUGAGCUUUUGCAAAACUGGGCCGCCGCCUUUUUCGAUUUUUCAGAUUCGGUCCGAAUUUUUAGUAAACUGACCAAAAUACCCUUAUUACUCUUUCUCUCUCCUCUUUUUUUUUCUCAUUCAUUUUUUUUUCUCUCGCCAAAGAAGGCAGCGGAGGCAGAGGAGGAGACGGAAAGGCCCACCUCGCCACUCACCCUCAUGCCUUUGCCUUUGCCCUCGCCUGCGCACCCCCCAUUUUUCUCACCUCGGACCCCGCCGAGGCCGCGCCGCGACUGCUUUUUUUCCCUCUUCGACCUUUCUCCACCGUCUCUAACGACGACACCUCUCUCGCCCUUCACCGGCCUUCUCGUCCUCUCUCUCUCCCUCCUCCUCCGCCGUCUCCGACGACGACGCAUCUUCGCCGCGCUGACGCCGCGGAGGUCGUUGUGGCGUCGUAACCUCGGAGCGGAGGUCCUUAGCGGCAUCGUCAUCGGCGCCGUGGCCGUUGGCACAGAGGGGUGACAAAAAAAAAAAUGUAGAAAAAGAAAGAAAAAAUAAAGACAAAAAAUUAUAAAAAAAGAAAGAUGAAGAUGAAAUUACACAGUUAAAAUAAAAUUGCAUUGUUUUAAAAGAACGUUGCACUAUUAUGGACAUAAGUUGCACUACUUAAGAUAUAAACUACACCCUUUAAGAUAAAAAUUACACUCUUUAAACGAAAAUUGCACUAUUUGAGAGAUAUUUAUACUGUUUCUCCUCUUAUUGCACCUUUUGAUAUGUAAAUUGUAUCAUUUAAGAUAAAAGUUACACUCUUUAAACGAAAGUUGCACUUUUUGAGAUAUAAACUGCACCCUUUAAGAAAUAUUUGUACUGUUUCUUCUCUUGUUAUACUAUUUCUCUUAUUAAAAAGUGCAACAAGAAGAGAAACAAUAUAAAUAUCUCUCAAAGAGUGCAACUUUUGUUUAAAGAGUGUAACUUUCAUCUUAAAGGAUACAAUUUACAUUUUAAGUAGUACAACUUAUAUCCAUAAUAGUGUAACGUUCUUUUAAAAUAAUAUAAUUUUAUUUUAAUGGUGUAAUUUUAUCUUCAUUUUUUUUUCUAUAAUCUUUUGUCUUUAUUUUUUUUCUUCUUGCUUCUUCUAUAAUUUUUUUUUGGUCACCCAUCUUUGCCAACAACCACGGCGCCGGUAUUGACGCCGCUAAAGACUCCUACUCUGAGACUACGGCGCCGCAGCGACCUCCGCGGCGUCGGCGUCGCCGAAUAUGCAUUGUCGUUGGAGGCGGCAGAGGGGAUGGAGAGGGAGAGGACGAGAAGGGCGAGAGAAGGCGAGAGAGGCGUCGUCGUCGGAAAUGGUAGAGGAGGGUCGGAAAGGGAAAAAACAAAAGUCGCGGCGCGGGCGAGGGCGAGGGCGACAGCAUAAGGGUGAGAGGCGAGGCGGACCAUUUCCGCCUCCGCCUCCGCCUUCCCCUCUGCCUUUUCUGGCGAGAGAAAAAAAAAUGAACGGAAAAAAAAAAAAAAAAAGAUAGAAAGAUGAGGGAGAAAAAGUAAUAAGGGUAUUUUGAUCAGUUUACUGAAAAUUCGGAUCGAAUUUGCAAAAUUGAUAAAGGCGGCCAAGUUUUGUAAAAACUCAAAAUUUGUGAAUUUUUUAUACAAAUUGGCCAAAUAUUAAAUUAUAAAUAUAUUUUUUAAAAAAUUUAAGUUAUUAAAUUAUAGAUAUAUUUUUUAUUUUAAAAAUAAAUAAGUAAAUUAAUGAUGCUACAAUUAUAUAUUUGUCCCUCCAAAUAUAGGUAACAGUCAAAUGUGCAAAUAUAUCCUUCUGAAAAAGUUCCGACAGACACCCAGCCGUGUCACUGGUCCUUGCCGUAGUCCCGAGACAACAACCGAGAUCCUACCCUACACUGCUUCUAAGCCUGUCCUCUACCGCCUCCAAUCGAUCGUCGGCGACGACCCCGUCUCCGUGGCUGGAUUCCAUUGUUCCGCCUCGUCUUCUCAGAAUGGCUCAUCUGUAGUUGAGUUGUAUAAAACUGUGGCCUCCUCGUCUGCGUGGCUGGUCUCCGUCGUUCUGCCUAGUCUUCCUAGGAGGGCUCAGUAGUUGAGUUGUAUAAAACGGAAGAGGGGAUUAGGGAUAUCGAUGGAUAAGGAUACCAAAAUUUUAUCCGAAUCUGAAUCUGAACGGAGCAAAUUUAUUUGAUGCUAUACGAAUAUGGUUUCGAAUAUAGAUAUCAAAAAUAGGAUAUGAAUUCCGAUAUGAAUUUUGACUGUAUCCAAUCCAAACCCGAACCCGAUUUGAAACCGACCUGGACCCAAAUUUAUUUUGCAUUAUAUAUAAUAUGUAUAUAAAAAUUUAAUGUCAUAUUUGAAUUUAUAUUUUAAAAAUUUAGAUUUAAUGUAUUAUAUUUUGAAAUAUUAAAAAAAAAAUUAUUUCGGAUUUGAAUUUUCGGGUUCGGAUUGGGGUUUCGUAUUUCAGAUUUUUUAUCACGUUCGGAUUUGGAUAUGAAUUUUUAAAAUUAGUCAAGUUGGGAUUUGGGUUCGGGUUUCAGGUUUCGGGUUUGGGGUUAGAUUUGGAUUUGGAUUCUUGAAAAUCCAUCCCAAUCUGACCUGCCUGUUUACAUCCCUAGGGGUAGACCUGGCAAUCUCGAUCCAUACCCGCGGGUGCCAGUCGGUUACCCGCAAAUUUGCGGGUAUGGGUACCAACUUUUCAAACCCAAAAAAUUACGAGUAAAACGGGUAGGUACCCAUUAAACUGUGGGCAUUUUGGAUACCCGCACAUCUAUUUUUUAAUUAAAAAAUAUAUUUUCUUAAUUAAAAUACAUAUAUUUUUAUUUAUCCAUCUUAAAAAUUCCAACCCUAAUUUCUUAUCGCAUCUUUUAUAUUACGAAAUUUUCCUUUAAAUAUUUUUAUUAUAUGUUACGAUAUUUUAAAUAAUGAAUUAUGCUAUAUUUUAAAACUUAUAUAUAUGUAUUUGUAUUUAAAAAAUAUAAGAGAAAAAAGAAAAAAAAAAUUGCGGAUAACCCGCAUACCCACCCUUCUAUCCGUGGGCGGGUAUGGAUAAAGAUAUUGGCUACCCAAAAAUUUGCGAGUAAAUUUUAUCCAUGCCUAAGUAACCCGCGGGUACAAGUACCCGCCCACCGGUUAUCCAACCCACCCGUUUGCCAGGUCUACCUAGGGGGGAUGGGAACUAAAUUAGUCAUUUUAUAUAUUAACUACUUAUGAUUAAAUGACCAACAAAAUAUUACUAAGAGAGAAUAACAACAAAGAUAUAUACUAAAAAAAUUCUCAAAUUUGGAGGGCCAAAUUUGGUGAUUAUUAGAGGAAUGUAUUCACAAUUUAAUAUUUUUAUAAGAUUCCAUAUGCAAUUAACCCUAAUAAUUUUUUAAAAUUAACAUUUUUACAAAUAUUAACCAAAAUUAUAUGGAUAAAUCGCAUCGGUAGUAUGCCAGCGGGCAAAUGUUCUUAAAUUAAAAAGGAAAAAGAAAAAGGAGGCACUACUAGUCUUCGUACUUGUAGCUAGGUUUUAUUUUGGUAUCCAAACUGUUAAUUCAAUGUUAGCGAGCCUAAACUCUUAAAAAAUAUUUUAUUUUAAUCCUCACGCAUCCUUACCAUUAAAUGGUAAGCUAUUGCUUAUAUCCUGUGCAUCUUAAUAUUUCUAUACUAUGCAUGCAUUGAUGUUUUAUCCUAUCAGACAUUUCAACCCUCUUAUUCACGGACCAAGCAAUCUUUUCCCUAUUUAAAAAUUAGCCAUUGAAUUGAAAGUAAUAGCUGGAUAAAAAAUCGGAUAAAAAAUCAGCAGAAUCUAUUGUAUACAAACAUAAAAUAAACCAUGCACAAGCAAUUGCUUACUUAUUAAUGGUACAUAUGGUGCAUCCGUAUAUUUAUAUACUAUGCAUUUACUGAUGUUUAAUCCUAUCACAUAUUUCAACCCUCCAAUCCACGGAAUAACAACAAAUUGGCUAUAAAAUUGAAAGUAACAGUUGGAUACCAAAUAGGCGGAAUUUAUGGUGUGCGAACAUAAGAUGAACUAUGUACAAGCAAUAAUUCUUACUUCAAGAUAAAAUCUAUAGUGAAACACUUUUGCAAGCUUGAUUCUAAAAUAAAAUAUGUCGAAAGUUUCAAAGUCUUAAAUUUCAUAUACGAGAGUUUGAGACCAAAAUCCAACUUAAGAGUGGAAAUUCAGAGAGUAGUUCAAUUUAUCCAAAAUUUAGCGGCUAAAUUGUACUUUUGAUCCUCAAACUAUUGAGUUCUGACGCUCUAAUCCUCUCACUCUAGUUUUAUUGCAAUUUCCUCCUUGGAACUUUCUAAUUUGUACAAACAAGUCCCAAAGUAUAAUUUAAUUAACCAAUAAUGAUAUAAUUUUGAUUUUACCAAUCUAAAACUUCAGACCCACAAUUACAAUAAAUUAAAAUUUGACAACUAAAAUAGCAGGCAUCUCAUAGUUUGUGGACCAAAGGUGCAAGUUAGGCAAAUUUAAUGUAGCAAACUACUUUUUGGCUUUCAUAUUGUAUAAAAUACUGAUUCACCUUCACCAACAACAAGCAGAGCGAACCUUUUCAGCUCCAUGUCACAAUUCUAAAGAAAGAGUCAUGGCUCAUUACUUCCAGUUGAUAUCACUAGAAAGAGAAGAGACAGUAAAGAAGAAGAAUAAAAGGAGGAUAGAUAGAAGGAUUGACGAUCAGUGAUGAGGAAGAAAGUAGAUAAAAGGACCAAUGAGUGUGGGAAAAUAGAUAAUCCCCUUGUUUUCGUGUAUUUAAUUUGCAAACCAAUAUUCAUAAACAAGAAUAUAAGAAUAAAUAUCAUAUGCAAAACUAAAACUAAUGAAAACACCAUGUGAGAGUUUAUUUUCUUAAAACUGAGCUAUACCGAAGAACAGUGACAACUGAAAUAUAAAGUAAAGAAGACACUUACAACAACUCACUUCCGUUGGUCGCUAUAAGACAACAAAAACUGAUUAACUACAAACAUAUACUACUGACCUCAUAAACAAUACUUUGGCAAUCCGAUCACAACAAUCCAUAUGGCAUAAUUGAGAAUAAAACAAGAUGAUAAAGAGUAGACGAUAAUUCGCACUUACCUUCACCAAAUCCUUCUUUUAUUUUUGCAUUCGGUUGCCCUGUAUUUAUGAUGCUCUUCCUUGCUUCGAUUCGCCUGCUGCCCCAUCGGGAAUGACCCCUGCCGCUGCAGCUGCGGAGACCACAGUCUGGAACUGAGGGGCCAGCGAAGGGCGGAACGUGGGUUGCGAGUGGUACAUCUGGGUAUGAGCUGGGUCGGCAAAUUCAUAACCGUAGUUGGGGUUUCCGGCUGAGGACUGGAUUGGUUGCUGGUGGUGCAUCACAUGGUACCCCAUUCCGGGGUAAGGGUGCACCUGAUCAGCGGCAGCAGCGGCAGGGAUGGGGAUAAGAGGGGUCGACACGGGAACAGCAGGAGAAGGGGAUGCGGCGGCCGCAGUUCGAUACAAGCUGGCAGGGGGCAAUUCGGGCUUCGCUGGUACGUGGCUACGCGAGGGGGCGGGGCUGAGAAGGCCGUUCGAGCGCGCGGUGCCGCCCGUCCUGCACGUCAGCCCGGGGCUGAGCGGCUACGAACUGUUCUUAAGCAGGAAGCCUAGCUGGAGGAGGCGCGGAAGCGACAGGUUGGAGGGCGGCUAGGCGCAGGCGGGGCUGCUGGCGGGGGGGCUAGUGUAGCGGAGAGUCCCCGUCGACGUCGUCGUCGUCGCCGGCCUGCUCCCCAUGCGAGGCUGGGUGGAGGGCGGAGUCUAGGGAGAGGGACGGCGAGGGCCUAGGUGAGGCUGGUAGAGGGGGUGGCUUUUGGGGUUGGCCCAGCCCCAAAAGAGGAGGCUGCUGCUCUUUAGGCUGGUGCCGCCGUAGGCAGCUGGGGACGUCGGAGGCUAGGUCGGCUUUGGUCGAGGAGAGCUGCGUUAGCCGAGGCUAAACUCGCGGUCCAAUAGACAGAAGCAGCCUAGGUUAAUUUGGGAACAAGAAAAAGAGAACCCUUUAAAAUGUUGAAUAAACUGAAACUAAACGAACCAAGUAGAUCCUUGUACAUGAUAGUCCUCUCCGGACGAAGGCCGCUCAACUUAGGAAGGCUACGGCCUCCGAUAGCCUAAGGUCACUGACAUAGGUUGGUCCGUAUAGACUGAGGUCUCGUUGAGGUCGUCGUCAUAAGGAUAGUCGUCGUCGUCAACGUCGUCGUCGUCGUGGUCGUCAACGUCGUCGUCGUCGUAGUCGUCAACGUCGUCGUCGUCGUCAACGUCGUCGUCGUGGUCGUCGUCGUCGUCAACGUCGUCGUCGUCGUCGUCGUCAACGUCGUCGUCGUCGUCGUCGUCAACGUCGUCGUCGUGGUCGUCGUCAACGUCGUCGUCGUGGUUGUCGGAGUCUUCAAGUAAGGACGGGUAGGGGUCAUGUAGGUGGUGGGCCGGUGACCGUGGAAGCAGGGACAGGGGAGAAUGAUGGGCUAAGUCGUCAGACGCGUUAGGGUAUGGAUGCUAGGGGUCCCGGCAGGGUACAUGAAGCAGGGACAACCGGUCUUAGGGGGUCGCUGGCCCUAAAGCUAGGGCUNGGGGAGCGCAUCGGCGGGCGCGGCGGCGGAAGGGGCGGCGGCGGCGGUGUGGCGGGAGUGGACGGAGGAGUCGUCCUCGAGGCCGAGGAGGCAGUUCACGGAGGCGGAGUCGGCGGAGACGCCGCGCGGGAGGUCGUCGAGGGCGCCGAUGGCGCUGUUGAGGGCGUCGACGAACCACGUCUCCGACUUGGACGAGUCGUCCAGCAGCGACCCCAUGGAGGAGGACGGGGUGGACUCGGCCUUCGCGGGGAAGAGGAAGAGGCGGAGGCGGGAGCUGCGGGUGGAGCCUCCGCCGCCUCCGCCGCCGCCAGCUGCUGCAGCGCCGCCAGAGGAGGACGCGGCGGAGGAGACGAUGCGGUCGUACUCGUCGAUCAUGUUGUCGAGGUCCUCGUCGGUGGAGACGGAGAUGAGGGAGUCGAGGUCCUCGUUGGGGAGCUGGUACUUGAGGGAGAAGGGGCGGCCGCCGAGGAGGGAGCGGGACAGCUUGGCUUGAAGGUCGGCGAGGGAGGAGUGCCGGUCCACCACCACGAUCCGCGUCUCGCCGCCCAGGUAGCACAACGACUUGUCGGUCGGCCGGGGGACGAUGCGCCCGCCGUAGCUGCACAUCAGGCGCAGCCGGGACGGGGCGGCGGCCGAAGCCGGCGCGUAGGCGAAGGGCUCGUCCCAGGACUCGCCUCCGCGGGAGCGUGGGGAGGACUCCACCGAGUCCGGGUAGCCGCCCGUCUCCAUAGGGGACGGAUCGAGAUCGGAUUGAUGGGGGGUUUUUUGCAAAAAAGGAAGAAAGAUAGGUGCGGAGAGACCGAGAGGAGGAGAGGAGAAAAAGUGUCGGGGGCCGGGGAUAGGCUUCUCUCUUACUUUUUCGUCGGUGCGGGUCCCCCUCCGGAGCUUUGAAUGAGGGGGUAGUGAGAAAGUCCGGAACCGAGGGCAAAAUAUCUUGGUGAAACGAUCUCUAUGUCCAUGUUAUUAUUAUUAUCUUGUUCUUCGAAAAGAAAAAGAAAAUUAUCUAAAUUGAGUAGGCCAGGCUUUUCUUGUCCUUGUAACUGACUUUUCAUAAAUUUUAUUUUUUUAUUAUGUGUUUUAUCUAAUUUUAGUUUGGCCAAUUUGCAUAAAAAAUUUACUUAUUUUAGACUUUUCUAAAAUCGGACCAUCUUUUUCGUUUUUACAGAUUCGGUCCAUUUUUUCAGCAAACUAGCGAAAAUAUCCUUAUACCUUUUUCUUUUUUCUCUUUCUCUCUCCUCUUCGUUUCUCUCUUUUUUUUUCUUUCUCUUUCCAGAGAGCGGCGGAGACGGAGCGGAGGCGCCCGUAUACUUUUUUCUCUCUCCUCUUUUUUCUCGCGUUCUUUUUUUUCUUUCUCUUUCCAGAGAGCGGUAGAGACAAAAUGGAGGCGGCCUGCUUCGAUUUUGUCCGGCGCAUCCUUACUCUUACCCGCACACCCCCAUCUUCCUCGCCUCUGAUCCCGCCGAGGCCGCGCCGCGACUCUUUUUUUUUUUUUUACCUCUCCAACUCUCCUACACUGUCUCCGACGACGACACCUCUCUUGCCUUUCUCCACCCUUCUCGUCCUCUCCCUCUCCCUCUCCCUCCUCCUCUGGCGCAUCCGACGACGAUGCAUCUUCGCCGGCGCCGAUACCGACACCGUGGAGGUCACUGCAGCGCUGCAGCCUCGGAGCGGGGGUCCUUAGCGGCGUCGUCGCCGGCGCUGUGACCGUUGGCAGAGAGGGGUGACCACAAAAAUAAUAAAAGAAGCAAGAAAAAAAAUAAAGAUAAAAACUUAUAGAAAAAGAAGGAUAAAGAUGAAAUUCCAUCGUUAACUACAAAAAAAAUUAUAAGUUGCAUUACUUAAAAUGUAAACUGCAGCUUUAAGAUGAAAAUUACACUCUUUAAAUAAAAAUUACACUAUUUGGGAGAUAUUUACACUAUUUUUUCUUUUAUUGUACUAUUUCAGAUGUAAACUGUCACGCCCCAAUCCCCGCCAAUUUGGUCGGGUUCGGGUCACGUCAACAGACGCCGAACGGACAGAGCCUCCCCUGUCCGCCCAAGGCUCUAACAACAAGUAUAAAUAGGCAAUCAACAAGCGAAUUGCAUAUGUAAUACAAGGCUUGCACGAGGGCAAGUGUGACGCACUGGACCUUUGCAAAUUGCGAGGUUUGAGUGUUUGAUCUGUGUGACGAGCCAUCUCAGACUGUCUGAAGGGUCGUAGACAGUGUUCCGACCUAUGGUUCGAGUCCCGAGAAUUGUGGUUUGAAACAGUGUACCAAAAUCCAAAAAGUUGGAUUUUUGGUUAGCUCUUGGAUUAGCCUCAGCCAGGCUGUGUACCGGUACAGCCUUGAUGGUUGUACCGGUACAGAAUUUGUACCGGUACGCCUUGAUGGUUGUACCGGUACACAAUAGGUUUUCUGCCAACCCGAGGCUCGGGUUGGGCAGUUUCGCAGAAGGUGUACCGGUACACUUUCCCGUGUACCGGUACACAAUGCAGAAUCUGGGCAGUUUCGUGGAGGGUGUUUUUGCAAUUGUUGCAACCCCUUUAUAAACAACCCCAGCCCCUUUGAGAGCUCCUUUGAGCCCUAAACCUGAGGAGACAAGGUAAGAACUCCCUCUCUUGAGUUGCUCUCCAUUUUUUGAUGGAUUUUGUUGGGUUGAUCUUUCCUCUCUGCUUUUCUUGCUUCUUAUUGGUCCUCCAUGAGAGAAGCUUGAAGCUCGGAUUGGAGCUUUUGGAGGGAGAAUUCUUCAACCCAUUUGUGGGGCCUAGUUUGGAGCUUCUAAGAGGUUAGUAACUAGAUCCUUUCCUCUAGAUCUAGUUUUUGUGGAUUUUACUAGAUCAAACCUAGAUUUUGGAUUUUAGGGUUAAAUUUGGAAUUUUCGUUUUGAGGGCUUUUGUACAAAAUUGAUGGGUUUAGAAUCUUGUUUAGUUAGAUUGGAAGGACUCUAGCUCCCAUUUGGAGAUUGUGAGAGCUUCCUUCGCAAUCGGUGAGUUUUUCGUCAACCUACCCUAUAUGCUUAAUAAUUGAUCUUGAGCGUGUCCGUUCGUUCGGCUCAUAUGACUCAUGUUCUUGUACCUCUAGGGUACUAGGAGACUAGAGGACACCCUCGUUGGAGCGCACGAGGAGUUUCGUUGUCAUCGGUGGGUUUGGCUUCGUGGAAAUGGGGCGAAAUGGCCCCUAUACUCUUUCUACUUGUUGUAAAUUAUGUUUAAGUUCAUUUCUAUGCUAAAUGGAAUUUAUAUGAAUUUUAGAGCACUUAAAGUGCAUGCCUCGUGUAUUAUGAAAAUUUCACUAUAUAGUAGAGCUAUAUGAGUAGAAUGCAUGCAUACGGAAAAAGUGUUUAUUUUGCAAGUGAAAAAUACAUCUCUUAUGAGAAUUAUGACUUGGAAUAUGUAAUUUGGAACAUAGUUACCAUGUUUUGACAUAGAGAACCAGAGUGUCAUAAAGGGGCACUUGAAACUAGUAAACUAUGAAACUGCAACAUAGAGACAUAUUGGUAGGCCACUACAUAUCUGCUAUAUUCCAUGUUAGAGACAUGACGACAUAGAGAUAGGCCAUCGUGAUACUUGACAUAUUCCAUGUUUUAGACAUGAGUACUUGGUACUUGAAACAGAUCAUUGCUUGCUUGCCAUUUGUGCUCAUUCGCACAUGCUUGUGAGGGUCGCGCCCUACAAGCCGGCACUCCGGAGAUAGCCAUCGCGACACAUGCUCGCCGUGCGGGAUUGGGCGCCGAAGUGGAUCGCCGUGGGGAAGGCUCAUCUCUAGAGUGGGGAUGUUGACUACCACGGGGCCAUUAGGCACGGCGCAGGCCAGACAGCCUUCGGGUGGGUCUUGCAUGAUUGGGACUUAGUGACAGAUCAUGCAAUGUGAACUUUAAAACUAUUAAAGUGGACUUGGACUAGAAUAGUAAACGACGACAUUUUUACUAUCUUUGCAUUAAGGACAUUGGGUUGGUUGCAUUUCUACGCUUAUGCAUGUCUUACACAUCCAUGUACAUUCAUGUUAUAGUUGAUUUAUUACUUAUGCAAAUCAUGCUAAGUGGAGACUCUAUGUUAUAGUAAGUUAUAUUUCACUUACCGUUUAAUUAUUACAUUGUUAGUCACUGACCUCUUCUUGUAGCUUUUGGGCCUUGUGGCGCAGUUCACUGAAGUCAGUAAUUGCCCACUGUGAACUAUUUUUAAUAGUUCUCACGCCCCUGUUUUCUGGUUUUCUCUUCAGAGCCUUCGGCACCGGCGGAGGCACGGGAUCGCGGCAAGGGGAUCGCUUAGCUAGCUAGCGAGGAGCGGUUCUUACUUAGGUGGUUUGCUCUUUCUUUUGUAUUUUGAGAGAGUGUGAGAUUUUUGUACCCAUGUAUAGAGACCACCUAUGUACCUACCUAUAGCACUUGUAUUUGGGAUUUCUUAUUGUAUUUACUUUAUGUCUUAUUUAGUGAAUUUACAGUUUCAUCCUUAUUUCUUGUUGUAGCAUUUAGACAUUUAUUAUGCUCUGAUACUCCUAGAUGUCUUCUAUUAUUGCUUUUAUUAUUGUUGUUUUUAGACGCCUUAUAUGUUGAAGACAUAUGGCGGGUCUGGGCACGUGCCGGGCGGGCUUCCGCUGGGUCCCGGGGCGUGACAGAUUAAUGUGGUAUCAGAGCCUAGGGUUGAGUCUUAGGGGACCUAGCAAACCUUAGGCCGGUUGGACUAUAGGAAAUAGGCUCGUGAGAGACGAGGUCUAUUCGACUUGUGAGCGAAAGUAUCAUGAUUGNACGUCGUCGUCGUGGUCGUCGUCAACGUCGUCGUCGUGGUUGUCGGAGUCUUCAAGUAAGGACGGGUAGGGGUCAUGUAGGUGGUGGGCCGGUGACCGUGGAAGCAGGGACAGGGGAGAAUGAUGGGCUAAGUCGUCAGACGCGUUAGGGUAUGGAUGCUAGGGGUCCCGGCAGGGUACAUGAAGCAGGGACAACCGGUCUUAGGGGGUCGCUGGCCCUAAAGCUAGGGCUUGCAUGGUCGCUUCGGGCUUAACGGGGGACGGUCGAACAUAGCUUGACGCCGGCGGCGUAGGGGAAGAGGACGACAAGGGCACAGCUGGGGAGAAUAGGGGUAGGGACGGCGACGACGGCGACUAGUCCACGUGGGAAUGGGGCCUUACCCCAUGGUACACUACGUGGUGGUCGUUGGUUAGGUCAGGAGUCGGCCUUUGGGGUUGAUGCCAAUACUUAAACGGCUGGGUCGAGUAUGGGUCUACAUGGUGAGCGUUGGGUGCAAGGCGGGAAGCGACCGGGGAGUCAAGGUCUGACACCAGAGGCGUCGACGUCGCCGUCCCCAGUAAGGGCUACCCCGUCGUCCGCUUAGCUUCGUUCCUUCUCGUAGUAUUUAUGUCCCGUUGGCUUACGUUUUUAUUUUCUUCCUAAACCACUUCCAUUCACGCUUAAUAGCAGAUGAGAAAUAGUAGAACAAAAUAAGAGUUAAUACGGUAUACCUAACAACACUAGCCUAACGGUUUCAUAACAAAUACUCCAGUCAUCAUAUACAAACAUCAAUUAGUCAAAAACAACAGAAUAUCGCUGGUUGCCUUCACUCAACAACAUUCACAGAAGAAAUGAAAUAUAAAGUCAACAGUGACAAGAAGCCAUAUCGAGUCAAAAUUCUUUUAUUUGAGAGUGUACCACAAAAGUAAUCAAAAUCAAAACGUAUACUAUAAAUAAGAAUAUAAGAACAAAUACUUAUAACCAAACGUUUAAUUUAUGUGCUUUUGUUCCCCUAAUAGAUAAAAGGGUGUGAGUAACCAGGAAAAUAGAUGAAAGAAGGAGUAGUGACUAGCAGUUAGGAAGAUAGAUAGGAGGAAAAUAAGAAGAAGAAAUGACAGAGAAGAGAAAGAUCACUAUAGUUGACCUUCAUUACUCGGUACUGAGAAAGAAAUCUUAACACUGUACCUCGACUUUUCCAAGCGAGACGAACAACAACCACUUCCACUUAGUCAUAAAAUAUGUUAUACUUUCGGUUUUUCAUCAAACGAUGUAAUUUAAACGGAUUGAACGUGGAAACCAGGUGUUUGAUACUCUACGGACGAUAAAAUCAACAGUUUAAAAUUAAAUAACAUUAACACCCAGACUUCAAAAUCUAACCAUUUUAGUUUUAAUAUAGUAAUAACCAAUUAAUUUAAUAUGAAACCCUGAACAAACAUGUUUAAUCUUUCAAGGUUCCUCCUUUAACGUUAUUUUGAUCUCACUCUCCUAAUCUCGCAGUCUUGAGUUAUCAAACUCCUAGUUUUCAUGUUAAAUCGGCGAUUUAAAACCUAUUUAACUUGAUGAGAGACUUAAAGGUGAGAAUUCAACCUAAAACCAGAGUUUGAGAGCAUAUACUUUAAAUUCUGAAACUUUGAAAGCUGUAUAAAAUAAAAUCUUAGUUCGAACGUUUUCACAAAGUGAUAUCUAAAAUAGAACUUCAUUCUUAAUAACGAACAUGUAUCAAGUAGAAUACAAGCGUGUGGUAUUUAAGGCGGAUAAACCAUAGGUUGACAAUGAAAGUUAAAAUAUCGGUUAAACAACAAUAAGGCACCUAACCUCCCAACUUUAUACACUAUCCUAAUUUGUAGUCAUUUACGUAUCAUAUAUUUAUAUGCCUACGUGGUAUACAUGGUAAUUAUUCAUUCGUUAACGAACACGUACCAAAUAAAAUACAAACAUAUGUUAUCUAAGACGACUAAAAAAUAGGCUAAAAAAUAGGUCGAUAAUGAAAGUUAAGUUACCGAUUAAAAAUUUAUCCCUUUUCUAACGAACCAGGCACUUAUUCUCCCAACUUUACAGACUAUCCUAUUUUGUAGUUACGUACGUAUCAUAUCUUUAUAAUUCUACGUGUCCUAUAUUCGUUAUCGAAUGGUAAAUUACCAUUCCUACGCACUCCUAAUUUUAUUUUAUAAAAAAUUCUCAAAUCCGAGCGAUUGUAACUUAAUUGUCAAACCUAUGGUUUUAUUUUGGAUCGAUGUUCAUGCUUCUGAUCAUCACGGAGGAAAAAGAAAAAGGAAAAAUUAAAUUCUUGUAAACGGGCGACCGUAUGAUGGCUACGCUAAAUAGGUAUAUUAAAACCAAACUGCUGCUGCUGCUGCAACUGCUGAUGCUGCUGCUGCUGCAACUGCUGGUGCUGCUGCUGCUGCAACUGCUGCUGCUGAUAGGAAUACUGCUGCUGGAGUUGCUCUGGAGUCAGAUAUGCCUGGUUGGAUACAGUCACUGGAAUCCGAUAGCCUCCGGCAUCGGAAGGAUUCAACUCGCCGGAAGCAGGCCUCUCCUGAUAGUACAUGUUCCUAGAUGAACCAAGCAAAUCAAAGUCAAAUAAGUUGUAAAAUUUCCCAAGAGAAAAAGAACAAGGGUUUAAUUGGAUCCGACGAAGACAGAUAACCUGGCGCUCAAAUCGGAGCCGAUUGCGUCGAGAGGAGCUGGUUUCGGCUGGAUCGGAGGCUGCAGGGGUCGACGGAUGCCGCCGUGGUCGGAUUUCUCGUCGUCGGAGGAGAAAACCCCGACCCGGUUGGGGUUUUCGGUGGGGGAGAUGGUCGGAGUGGAUCCGGGAGCGGCAGGGAGAGGGAUCUGAGGCGGGAGGUGGGUCGGAGCGUACCCCUCGUCCGGCCGCUGCUGCUGCUGCAGCUGCCCCUGAGAGGCGAUGUGAUCGGGGGGGCGGUCGUCGGGGCGGACGCGGAUCGGCGGGAGGUUGGACAGCGAAGGCGCGGAGGAGGUCGAUCCGAAGGACGAAUUCUUGUCAAGCAUCGGCGAGUCGGGGCCCGACUGCACGUCCUGCCCGCCGUGGCGCGCGAGCUUGCCGGAAGAGUCGGGGCGGGGGAGCGCAUCGGCGGGCGCGGCGGCGGAAGGGGCGGCGGCGGCGGUGUGGCGGGAGUGGACGGAGGAGUCGUCCUCGAGGCCGAGGAGGCAGUUCACGGAGGCGGAGUCGGCGGAGACGCCGCGCGGGAGGUCGUCGAGGGCGCCGAUGGCGCUGUUGAGGGCGUCGACGAACCACGUCUCCGACUUGGACGAGUCGUCCAGCAGCGACCCCAUGGAGGAGGACGGGGUGGACUCGGCCUUCGCGGGGAAGAGGAAGAGGCGGAGGCGGGAGCUGCNNNNNNNNNNNNNNNNNNNNNNNNNNNNNNNNNNNNNNNNNNNNNNNNNNNNNNNNNNNNNNNNNNNNNNNNNNNNNNNNNNNNNNNNNNNNNNNNNNNNGCCAUAUACAUAGGUAUUUCUCCCGUAUACGAAGCGAAAAAGUAGAAGCACCUGUAAUCACACAAUACUACAAAUAGUAGUAUAGAGCAGCUAGGAAAAUAAACCAUAUAUAAAAACUGUGGUUCAAUACAUACAUGUGAUCUAGGUACACAAAUAGUCGCUCUGGCGAGAUAACAACAACUGUAUGUAAAGACCCAAAAACUACAACUACCUGUAACUGGUGCUCCUCUAGCUCUGCGACUCGACUGGAAGGGCUCUAACUCGCGAUGCCCUUGCCACGAUCAAGAUCAGCAACAACAGCAACCGAAGGUGACGGCUCUGCAAAACAGUGGUAACAACUAGGCGUGAGAACUACUACAAAAAGUAGUCCUCAGUGGGUACCGCCCUCAAACUCAUCGGUCCACCCACUAAGUCUACAGGGAUAAGCAGGAAUAGUUAAGAAAGCUGGAACAAAUCUAUAGCUAAAUACCGCUAUACUAUCAUGCUUUAACUCUAACCCUCCGUAGAACAAUGUCAACUCAGACUCAAUCUCAAAUAAGGACUGUAAUCAUACUCGUCCCUGGGACUGUGAGCACACCCGUCCCGCCCGGUUGCGACUAUACAGCUACCUCCACACUAACCAGUCCGUGGAGAGCAAAGUCCAACCUGCACGAACGACACCAACGCAAAAGCACAGCGCCCGUCUCCGGAGUGGCACUCGUGGGAGCUACCCAACCGAGUAUGUAGCGUAUCUCUGUUGAGCUCAAUCAGGCUCUAACAAGCCAAAGUCAAGUGGCUAGGGUCAAAACAGGUCUAGAAAUCAAACCCACGUGCCCUUGGCACAAUCUGAGACAAAAAACAGAAAUCUGGGUCCACCGUUCACCCCGACGGCACUCGACAAUCCGAAACAGCCUAGACUUUGCUGUAAAAAUAAGCUCGGCAUCCUAGCACGAGCGUAAAUGCAUUCUAAACUACCCCGGGUAUCCACCGCGCUGAAACAGCGGUGACACAAUCAAUCCACGGCUCCUAGAGCUAAAUCAGGUAGUAGAAUCAUAUGACGUAUCAAAACGCUGGUUUUCUCCUAAGUCAAUUUUCAAGUCCAACAUGUAUAUUGUAAAUACUCAUCUCAGCAUGCUUCAAUAUUCAUAUCGUAACCAAAAUGCUAAUCGAUGAAUUUAAGCAUGAUAUACAAGAACCGAAAAUCAUACACGUCGACUAAACAUGCACUUAGGAGCGAAACCGAUGAUACACCCACCUCUAAUGCAAUUCCUGGUAGCAAGGAGUCUCGAACUACUUAGAAUUCCCCUGCUGGAUCAACCGAAACUCUUCCAAGUCUAGCAACAAGAGUUCUCCAAACUCUACACCUUAACAAGAUCAAAAUCUAUCAAUACAACUAUAAUUUCAGCACCAAAGUUAAAAUUGGCUCAAUUACAAUGCUAAUUCUACCUUUCAACCCUCAAAUCAGGUGUAGCCAAGUCCCAAAAGCAGCGAAAUAUAAGAGAAUAUCUAACUCGGAUCCAAAAUCCCACUACUUCCAAAGAUAGCAUAAAGAACCAAUGAAAAUUUCAUUCUCAGCUCAAAACUGCAAACAGCAAAGAAAAAUAUAGAAUCGACCAAGCUAACCUCAACGAAAAUCUGCAAAAUUGGGCUUCGUGGAUUCCUCUUGAAGUCUAAAAUCCAACAAACCAAGUUUCGUCGUAAUCCGACCUCCCUAUGUCGCGCACGAGCCAAAACACUGAAGGUCGUUGCUGGAAAAACUGCAGAAUCUGCACCUUGUAAUCUUGGAGUUGUGGAACUUUGAUGCAAUUUGAGGAAAUUAGAGGGUUUAGAAUGUAAAAUAGCCUUCACUGUGAAGAGAGGGAGAAAAGAGGUCACAGGGGUCGAGUUCCCCCUAUUUAUAGUGAGGUGAAAUGGUGGAAAGAGCCUCAGCAACUCAAGAUGUAAACCUGCACUACUACAGAAAACCAAGUUCUAGGCGCCAUAAAACCAGUUCUGGGCGCCCAGAACUUCCAGCCAAGAACAACAGUCCUCUUCGGUUCCUCCUCCCGCGGUGUGCUGCACCUUUAUCCUAGUCUGGCGGAACUCACUUACGACAAAUACGUGUCAACGCCAUCGAUAAUUCCAAAGUGAACUUUCAGAUCCACUUCUGGGCGCCCGGAACAUAGGAUCCAAAUUGACUUCCAGUUUUGCGCAAAAUAGNUGACUUCCAGUUUUGUGCAAAAUAGCACUCAAGAUCUGGGCGCCCUAAACCAAGUUCUGGGCGCCCUAAACUGGCAAAACUUCAGUUUUGCUUAUUUGAGUGCGCUGAGUCCAUUUUUGCAUCUAUUUCAUGCAAAAAUGACUCCGACUCAGUUCGACACUCUCCAGAGAUGUCGACCAGUCACUAACACUGAAGCUAAUCCUAUCCAAAGCUCAGGAACACUACAUUCUCUCCCACUAUAAAAAGUUUCGUCCGCGAAACUGAAACAUACCUCAAUCCACAGCCUCAAAUAGCUGGGAUAGGACGCCCUCAUCACCGUCUCCGGCUCCCAAGUCGCCUCCCGCUCCUCGUGAUUGCUCCACUGUACCUUUACAAAGGGUAUGACCCGGUUGCACAAUUCCCUCGACUCUCGAGCUAGAAUCUGCACCGGUCUCUUCUCAUAUCUCAGGUCCUCGCCAAGCUCAAGCGGAGUAAAGUCAAUCACGUGGGAAGGGUCGAACACAUAUCUCCUCAAAGCUGAGACGUGGAAAACAUCGUGUAUGUUGACUAGUCGCGGGAGUAGAGCGAUCCUGUAAGCAACUGGUCCUACUCGCUCCAACACCUCAAAAGGGCCUACAAAGCGUGGACUAAGCUUUCCACGCACCCCAAAUCUGCGGAUCCCUCUGGACGGCGAGACUUUCAAAAAUACAUGGUCUCCAACUUGAAACUCUAAAUCUCGUCUCCUGGUGUCGGCGUAGCUCCUCUGGCGGCUCUGGGCUGUCAAAAGGCGUCGUCGCACUACUCUCACCUUUUCCUCAGCCUCUAGCAAGAUCUCCGGCCCCAGCAUUUUUCUUUCACCCACAUCACUCCAAAAUAAAGAGGAUUGACAUCGGCGUCCAUACAACACCUCAAACGGAGCCAUCUGGAUGCUCGUUUGAUAGCUGUUGCUAUACGCAAACUCAACCAGUCUCAAAUGUUGAUACCACCUUCCUCUAAAGUCCAGGACACAAGCUCUCAGCAUGUCCUCUAGAGUCUGAAUGGUCCGCUCUGACUGACCAUUUGUCUGUGGGUGAAACGCCGUGCUGAAAUGUAACCGAGUACCCAAGGCAGUCUGAAGACUCCUCCAAAAAUGUGAAACAAACCUCGGGUCCCUGUCCGAUACGAUCGAAAAUGGCACGCCAUACAGCCUAACAAUCUCAUCCAGAUAUAGCUGCGCGAGUCUCUCUUUGGACUAGGUGGCCUGCACUGGUAGGAAGUGAGCAGACUUAGUCAGUUUGUCCACUAUCACCCAAAUAGCAUCAUAGCCACCCUGCGCUCUCGGCAACCCCACGACAAAAUCCAUCAUUAUCUGCUCCCAUUUCCACUCGUGUAUUGGCAGACUCUGAAGCUUGCCAGCAGGUACCUGUCUGCCACCACGAAUGACGCACCUCGCACGGUCGAUGAUUUUUGGCCGUGUGGUGUAGUAUUCAUGAUUCAGAUGAGUAUUUAUAUGUAUAUGGGUAUCAGGUAUUGCGAGUCCAUGGCUUCCAAUAGAUGUAAGCAUCUAUUGUUAAUUACCCCCGUGGCAUUAGGGCACCUUCGAUUAAGAGACCUUUAUAGAUGGGAUGCGAUGAAUCGUGUCCUGAUUGUUUGAUUGAUUGAAUCCUAAGUAUAUUUAUUAGGAUUCAGUUGGAUUUGAAAUUGACAAGAUCCUAAGUAUAUGUGUUAAGACCUAGUCGAUGUUAAACUCUAAGUAUAUGUAUUAGAGUCUAAUUGGCUCUAAGUAUAUGUCUUAGAGUCUGAUUAUAUUUGGUUUCACCUUAGUUGUAUGUUCUGAGGUGAAGAUGUGACCAAACCCCAAAUAUAUGUAUUGAGGGAAGUCAGAUUUGAUAUUACCCGAAGGUGGAUAGUGGCUAAUUCCUGAGUGUAUGUGUCAGGACUAACCGAGUUUGAUAUAUUAUUUUUACUCUAGUUAUAUGUUCUAGAGUGAGGAUCUAACUAAGCCCUAAGGUAUUGCGUUAGGGUUCGUCGGAUUUGAUUUGCAUAAGCUCUAAGUAUAUGUAUUAGAGCUUGAUCGGGUAUGGAUUUCACUCUAGGUAGAUAUACUAGAGUAAAAAGCUGACUAGACCCAAAGUGUAUGUGUUGAGACUAGUCGAGCUUGGUUUGACUUCCACUCUAGGUAUAUGUGCUAGAGUAAAAGGUUGACUAGACCCUAACACCCCGUUUGGUUCGGGUAUAAAGGGGGGGAUAAGGGGGAUAUCCCCCCCUUUAUACCCAAACAAAAAAAAAGUUUGGUGGGAACAAGUGUUCCCACCAAACCGGGUUGUACCGGGUACAACCCGGUAUGGGUGGGAACACUUGUUCCCACCCGGGGGUGGAACAACUUGUUCCACCCCCUGGUACAAGGCAGAGAGAGAGAGAGAGAGAGAGAAAGAAAGAGAGAGAGAGAGAGGUGUUUUAUUUUAAAUUUAAAUAUAAAUUUUUAAAAUUUAUAAAUUAAAAUUUUUAAUUUUUAAAAUUUAAAUUUUAAAUUUGAUAUUUUUAGUUUUUAAAUUUUAUAAAUUUGUUAUUUUAUAUCUUUGAAUUUUAAUUUGGUUUUAACUUUGAAAUUUAAAAUUAAAUUAUUGAAAAUUUAAAAUUUAAUUUUAAAAUUUAAAACUUAAAACUUUAGGACUUUAAUUUAAAAUUAUAUAUUUAAAAUUUAAAAAUAUAAUUUCAAUUAUAGGGGUAAUAUUAUUAUUUUCUAUUUAUAACUACUAACUAUUCCUCUUAUUCCCAAAAACCAUCCAAAUGCAAUUUUUCUAGUUCCAGCUUAUACUCACAAUUUCACCCAAACAAAAAAAUACUCUUGUUCCUACAAAAAUCCAUACUUGUACCUAUCCCCGGUAUAACUAGUUCCUACUAAUUCCCGAACCAAACGGAGCCUAAAGGGUAUGUGUUAAGGUUAGUCGGAUGAACUCUAAGUAUAUGUGUUAGACUUCGAAUGAAUAUAUUUUUGACUGAAUUCUAAGUACAUAAUUUAGAACUCUGUCGAUUUGGAGAUGAUUUUGCCUUAGUUAUAUGUGCUAAGGUGAUUGAUUUAGCCCUAAGUAUAUGUAUUAGUGGUAGUCGAUUUUGCUUUUGAUUUUUCACUCUAGGUAUAUAAGCUAGAGUAAAGAAAAGGUUCAUGAUGAACUUUAGGCAUGAACUUGAUACAUGGUUCAUGAGAUUUGGGUGUUGGCUCCUAAGAUUUGGUCAUGGAUUUGAUUCAUGAGAUUUGGAUAUGGUUUGGUGUAUGGCUCAUAGGAUUUGGUGUAUGGUUUAUGAGAUUUGGUAUAUGGUCCAUGGGAUUUGGUCCAUGAGAUUUGGUUCAUGGGAUGUGGUUUCAUGAAAUUGGAUAUGGCUUAUGAGGUUUGGUUUAUGGUUCAUGAAUGAGGUUAGGUAUAUGAGAUUUGGUUCAUGAACUUGGAUAUGGUUUAUGGACUUGGUUCAUGGUUCAUGAACUUGGUUCAUGGUUCAUGAGGUGGCUAUAUAGGAUUUGGUUCAUGAACUUGGAUAUGGUUCAUGGACUUGGUUUAUGGUUCAUGUACUUGGUUCAUGGUUCAUGAGGUUGGGUAUAUGGGAUUUGGUUCAUGAACUUGGAUAUGGUUCAUGGAUUAGGUAUACGAACUUGGUUAUGGUUCAUGAGAUUUGGUUCAUGGAUAUGGUUCAUAGUUUAUGGUUCAUAAAUUUGGUGUAUGGUUUAUGGUUCAUGGUGUGUGAACUUGGGUAUGGUUCGUGGUGUUUGGUUCACGAACUUGGUUCAUGGUUUAUGGGACUUGGGUAUUGAUUUUCCAAUUUGAUUUGGGGUCCGAAGAAAUCCCCGUUUGAUCUUGAUUUAGGGUCCAAAGAAAUUCCCGUUUUAAUUUUAAUUUGGGGUCCGAAGAAAUUCCCGUUUGGUUCUGAUUUGGGGUCCGAAGAAAUUCCCGUUUUGAUUCCAAUUUGGGGUCCGAAGAAAUUUCCGUUUUAAUUUUGAUUUGGGGUCCGAAGAAACAGAGAAUCAAAGAUUCCCCUACCCUCUUCUUGCGAUGUUGCAGAUGACGUCGACGAAGUUGAUGACGGUGGCGUGGAUCUGUUCGGCCAUCGAAUUUGAUUUGACAUUUUCGAAGAAAUAUUGAAGGGUCCGAAGAAACGGGGAAUCAAAGAUUCCCCUCCCCUAUUCUUUCGAAAGUACCAAACCGGCGAUGUUGAGGUGGUCGCGGCAAUGUAGAUCACCCAUUCCAUCAUCAACAACUUCGAAUGGGGUAUUGAGAGGUCCGAAGAAACGGGGAAUCAAAGAUUCCCCUCCACUCUCCCAUCGAAGCCAUCUAGAUGGUAUGGAUAGCUACGAUCGCAGGACCAAAAAAGAAAAAAAAAGGAGGGGGAAAAAAAGAGAUUUUUUUUUUCUUCUUCUUCAUUUUUCGUCUUUUUUUUUUUCUUUACCUGUUUAUCAAAUGAUGGAUUGGAUGAAUCAGCUCGACGAUUCCUCCACUGUUCCGCGGCUCGGCGAUCCUCCUCCUUUCCGCGGCUCGGCGAUAUCUCAUUUUUUUAAAUUUUUUGUAUGUCAGAACGAGUGUAGCAAUCUAUCUAUUUUUUUGUUCUUUGUCUAUCGUAUUGUCUCCGUAAAAAAAAAUUCUCCCAUGUUUGAUUUCAGUUCUCGUAUUUAUAAUGGGAGGGGUGGUGAGAGAUAUUUUGAGGGAUUCGAAAUUCGAAUUUGAAUUUUGAAUAGGUUGUUUGAUAGUUGGAGGUUUUUUUGGAAUUGGUUGGAGAUUCGAAAUUCGAAAUCGAAUUUUGAAUCGGUUGUUGGAUGGUUGGAAUUGGUUGGGAAUUCGAAAUUCGAAAUCCAAUUUUAAAUCGGUUGUUGGAUGGUUGGAGGAUUUUUGGGAAUUGGUUAGGGAUUCGAAAUUCGAAAUCGAAUUUUGAAUCGGUUGUUGGAGGAUAUUUUGGAAAUUGGUUAGAAAUUCGAAAUUUGAAAUUGAAUUUUGAAUGGGUUGUUGGAUGGUUAGGUAUUCAAAAUUCGAAUGAGAGAUAUUUUGGGUGUUGGUUCGAAAUUCGAAAUCGAAUUUCGAAUCGGAUUUGAAUAUGGUAUUCGAGAUUGAAUUUUUAAAUGUGGGUAAAAAUGUGGACCGUUAUUUCAUGAAUUGGGCUGAAAUUGGGCCCACUUUGAUGAAACUUGUUGGGCACGAAUAUUCAUUGGGCUGAGAUGAGGCCCGAAUUUUUGUAUAGGCCUAAAAUCUUACAGGGCUUUUAUGAGGCCCAUUAAUUCACAUUUAUGAAUGGGCCUAUUGUGGAUUAAAAUCAUAAUUAUUGGCCCCAAGAUUUCUCGGUCAACAUGAGACCUUUUGGGAUUGUAUGAAUCCGAAUUUAAUCGGUUUUAAUUACUUUACCCAAUUUUUUUUUCACUUCAAACAAAUUACCCCCCACUUUUUCGACGUAAGAGUUUCGCGCGUCGAAAAGGUGCUCCUCUUUUCAUUCAUUUUUUUUUUUGUUCCUUUUUUUGGAUUUGGUUCCCUUCUUUGACCGUACUUUUUUCUUCUUUUUUUUUACUCGGUCCCCCACAUAGACCGUACCGGUUUUUUUUUUUUUUUUUUUUUAAUAUCAUCCCCGCACCAUAUGCAUUCAAUUUGAUUGCUCGAUUGCUUAGUUUAACGACAUGACGGUCAAUAUAAAAAUGCUCAGUGUAAUGACAUGGCGGUCGAUAUAAAUGUGCUCAGUUUGGUGACACAGCGGUCGAUAUAAAUGUGCUCAGUUUGGUGACAUGAUGGCAGAUAUAAAAGUGCUCAGUUUAGUGACGUGGCGGUCUAUUGGAUAUGGAUUGCUCAGUUUAAUGACGUGGCGGUUAAUUGGAUAUUUGUUGCUCAGUUUAACGACAUGGCGGUCUAUUGGAUAUUUGUUGCUCAAUUUAACGACAUGGCGGUCGAUAUAAAAGUGCUCAGUUUAAUGACAUGGCGGUCUAUUGGAUAUAAAUGUGCUCUGUUUGGUGACAUGGCGGUCGAUAUAAAUGUGCUCAGUUUGGUGACAUGGCGGCAGAUAUAAAAGUGCUCAGUUUAGUGACGUGGCGGUCUAUUGGAUAUGGAUUGCUCAGUUUAACGACGUGACGGUCAAUUGGAUAUUUGUUGCUCAGUUUAAUGACAUAGCGGUCUAUUGAAUAUUUGUUGCUCAGUUUAAUGACAUGACGGUGAUAUAAAAGUGCUCAGUUUAGUGACAUGACGGUCUAUUGGAUAUGGAUUGCUCAGUUUAACGACGUAGCGGCCGAUUGGAUAUGGGUUGCUCAGUUUAACGACAUGGCGGUCGAUUGUAUAUGUGUUGCUCAGUUUAACGAUAUGACGGUCAAUUGGAUAUGUGCUGCUCAGUUUAACGACCAUGGCGGUUAAUUUGAUAUGGGCAGCUCAGUUUAACGACAUGGCGGUCGAUUGGAUGUUAGUGAAUAUGGAUUUAUUUUGUCUUCGAGAAGCAAUCGAAAUUGCCGCGCUAACCGACCCUAAGGUGAGUUAGCAUUCCGUCAUUGGCAAAACAGAUUUUUGGGUAGUCUGGUGCCCAUAUGGGUUUUCACCAAAUGCCUUCCCCUAACUUUUGCCUGUGAGCCUCGAAAGGUUUGCUCACAGCGGGAAUCCCAAUUUUGCCUGUGGGGUUAUACCACAGUCGGGGACUUUUUUGUAAUUUUACCCUUGAAGUCUGAUGUGGACAAUCAAGUCCGCUGGUGGCUCAUAUUUUACCCAUAUUAUCUAAAAAAUUUAGACAACAUGUCAUCCACCUCUACUUUUUUUUGUAUAAGAAAAUAUGUAUUUUUUUAUUUAUUUUGCCUCGAGAAGCAAUUGAAAUUGCCACGCAUAACCGACCCUAAGGUGAGUUAGCAUUCCGUCAUAGGCAAAAUAUAUUUUGGGUAAUCGGGGAUAUGGAUUAUUUUUUAUUUAUUUUGGCUCGAGAAGCAAUCAAAAUUGCUCCGCAUAACCGACCCUAAGGUGAGUUAGCAUUCCGUCAUAGGCAAAAUAUAUUUUGGGUAAUAGGGAAUAUGGAUUAUUUUUUAUUUAUUUUGCCUCGAGAAGCAAUCGAAAUUACUGCGCAUAACCGACCCUAAGGUGAGUUAGCAUUCCGUCAUAGGCAAAAUAUAUCUUGGGUAGUCUGGCACCUAUAUGGGUUUUCACCAGGUACCUUUCCCUAUCUUUUGCCUGUGAGCCUCGAAAGGUUUUCUCACAGCGGGGAUCCCGAUUUUGCCUGUGGGGUUAUACCACAGCCGGGGUCUUUUUUGCAACUUUACCCUUGAAGUCCGAUGUGGACAAUCAAGUCCGCUGGUGGCUCAUAUUUUACCCAUAUUAUCUAAAAAAAUUAGAUAACAUGUCCUCCACCUCUUUUUUUUUGUAUCAGAAAAUAUGUAUUUUUUUUAUUUAUUUUGUCUCGAGAAGCAAUCGAAAUUGUCACACAUAACCAACCCUAAGGUGAGUUAGCAUAUUCCGUCAGAGGCAAAAUAUAUUUUGGGUAAUAGGAAAUAUGGAUUAUUUUUAUUUAUUUUGCCUCGAGAAGCAAUCGAAAUUGCUGCGCAUAGCAUUCCGUUAUAGGCAAAAUAUAUUUUGGGUACUCUGGUGCCCGAAUGGGUUUUCACCAGAUAUCUUCCCCUAACUUUUGCAUGUGAACCUCAAAAGGUUUUCUCACAGCGGGGAUCCCAAUUUUGCCUGUAAAGUUAUACCACAGCCAAAAUUUUUUUACAAUUUUACCCUUGAAGUCCGAUGUGGACAAUCAAGUCCGCUGGUGGCUCAUAUUUUACCCAUAUUAUCUAAAAAAAUUUAGACAACAUGUCCUCCACCUUUUUUUUUUUUUUUUAGAUCAAUUAAGAAGUGAUAUGUCUUUCAACUGUAUGGUUUAAUGAGGAUGGCCUUACUAUGCAUGUUAGUCUCAUUUUGUCGACUAUAUUUGCUUAGUUUAACGACAUGGCGGUCAAUUGGAUCAUUUGGGGCUCUUGAACGUUAUUGUCCUUGCCCCCAGCAACCUUUCCUUUAUGGAGUUGGCGGCGGUUAUUCUUUUUAAAGGACGCUCUCGUUGGAGGAAUGGUGGUUGUAGUAUCAUUAGAAAGCGCCAGCCUAUCGAAUACUGAUGCUUUCUGCACUCUGCCAUUUGGGAAUAUCAGUCUUCCCUCAGACUCCAUCCUCUUGGAUGCAGGUUGGUAAGUGAAUCGUUCGCCUAUGGGUCGGUGAGGAGGGUUGGGGAUGACCAUAUUGGGUCGUCUUCCUCGAGAUGGCAGUCAAGGAAUGACAACAUUUGAUACAUCCUGUGAAGGGGCAGCGGGAGUGGUCAUGCCCCCAGUAGCAGCAAGAAUUUGAGCCAUGACAGCAGCUCGAACAUCUUCCGAAAUGGUGCCAAAUUGGAUUGAGGCACCUGCAGUUUCGAAUGUCAGGAUGGACGUGGGCAAGCAGACUCGCGAACCCGCCUUCAAUAUUAUUGAGUUUGUUGAUACAGCGACAACGUUCUUUGAUGUUGGUGCCAUUUCCUUGUGGAAAAAGGUAGAAGCUAGAACCCCUUCUUUUUUUUUUUUAAGGUCUCGAAGAUGGAAGGAGAAGCCAUGUCCCACUGGGCGUGCCAUUUUGUCUGCCACCACGAAUGACACACCUCGCACGGUCGAUGAUUUUUGGCCGUGUGGUGUAGUAUUCAUGAUUCAGAUAAGUAUUUAUAUGUAUAUGGGUAUCAGGUAUUGCAAGUCCAUGGCUUCAAAUAGAUGCAAGCAUCUAUUGUUAAUUACCCCUGUGGCAUUGGGGCACCUUCGAUUAAGAGACCUUUAUAGAUAGAAUGCGAUGAAUCGUGUCCUGAUUGUUUGAUUGAUUAAAUCCUAAGUAUAUGUAUUAGAAUUCAGUUGAAUUUGAGAUUGACAAGGUCCUAAGUAUAUGUGUUAAGACCUAGUCGAUGUUAAACUCUUAAGUAUAUGUAUUAGAGUCUAAUUGGCUCUAAGUAUAUGUCUUAGAGUCCGAUUAUAUUUGGCUUCACCUUAGUUGUAUGUUCUGAGGUGAAGAUGUGACCAAACCCCAAGUAUAUGUAUUGAGGUAAGUCGAAUUUGAUAUUACCCGAAGGUGGAUAGUGGCUAAUUCCUGAGUGUAUGUGUCAGGAUUAACCGAGUUUGAUAUAUUAUUUUUACUCUAGUUAUAUGUUCUAGAGUGAGGAUCUAACUAAGCCCUAAGGUAUUGCGUUAGGGUUCGUCGGAUUUGAUUUGCAUAAGCUCUAAGUAUAUGUAUUAGAGCUCGAUCAGGUAUGGAUUUCACUCUAGGUAGAUAUACUAGAGUAAAAGGCUGACUAGACCCAAAGUGUAUGUGUUGAGACUAGUCGAGCUUGGUUUGACUUCCACUCUAGGUAUAUGUGCUAGAGUAAAAGGUUGACUAGACCUUAAAGGAUAUGUGUUUGGUUCACGAACUUGGAAAAGCUUUAUGAACUUGGUUCAUGGUUUAUAGGAUUUGGUUCAUGAACUUGGGUAUGGUUCGUAGCGUUUAGUUCACGAACUUGAUUCAUGGAUUAUGGGAUGUGGGUAUGGUUCGUGGUGUUUGGUUCACGAACUUGGUUAUGGGACUUGGGUAUGGUUCAUGAACUUGGUUUAUGAUUCAUGAACUUGGUUUAUGGUUUAUGGUCCAUAAGGUUUGGUAUAUGGUUCAUGAACUUGGUUUAUGGUUUAUGAAGUUGGGUAUAUUGGAUAUGGUUCAUGAACUUGGAUAUGGUUCAUGGGUGAGAUUUAUGAACUUGGCUCAUGAAUCUUGGUUUAUGGACUUGAUUCAUGAUUCAUGAACUUGGUUUAUGGUUUAUGAAGUUGGGUAUAUGGGAUUUGGUUCAUGAACUUGGAUAUGGUUCAUGGACUUGGUUCAUGGUUCAUGAACUUGGUUUAUUUUGGUUCAUGGGCCUUGAUUCAUGAACUUGGGUUAUGAUCCGUGGUGUUUGGUUUGCGAACUUGGGUAAGAUUCAUGGAUGUGGUUCGUGCUUCAGGAACUUGGUUUAUGAGUUUUGGUUCAUGAGACUUGAUUCAUGAACUUGGAUAUAGGAUUUGGGAUUUGGUUCACGAACUUAGGUAUGGUUUAGGUUUAUGAGCCUAAGUUGGAAGUUGGAUUUGGAUUUUGGGUUUGGAUUUGGAUUGUGGACUUGAUUUGGGUUGGGUUUGGGUUUUGGUUUUGGGUUCGGGUUUCGGUUUGGAUUUUGGUUUUGUUUUGGUUUGGGUUUGGAUUUGAUUUGGUUUGGGUUUGGGUUUAUUUGUGGAUUUGGGUUUGGAUUUGGGUUGGGUUUGGAUUUUAUUUGUGGAAUGGUUUGGGUUUAUUUGGACUUUGGGCUUGGAUUUUUAUGUGGACUGGAUUUGAAUUUGGUUUGGAUGUGGACUUGAUUCGGAUUUGGUUUCGUAUGUGAACUUGAUUCGGAUUUGGUUUGUAUGUGGACUUGAUUUUCUUUUCAAUUCUAUUUCGGGUUCGAGACAAUUCUCUUUUGAUUUUGCAACUUGAUUCGGAUCCGAAGAAAUCCCUUUUUGAUUUUGGUUUGAUUUGGGGUACGAAGAAAUUCCCUUUUG
rnacentral:lncRNA from 1 species